CCCAAAUGGUCAAUGUGACAAGGUAACUAAAAUUAUUAUCUUAUUUUUUGCAUAUAACUUAAAUUAUUAGUUUUUGUUUACUAUAUCUUGAUUCUAUAAAUUAGUGAUGAGGAACUAACAAAAUGAUAAGUCAAGAAAAUGAGAGAUAAUGAAUCAAUCACUAAGCUAGUUGUGACAAUGAGUUUAUGUUUUAUUCAUCAUUUGGAUAAUGUCUUAUUUACACUAUCAUAUAAUUUAAAGUAUACUACAUUACAAGUAAGAGUCUAUAAAAUAUAAGUUUUGUAAUCUUAAAAAUAAGACAUGUAAUAUUUUAUAAAAUGUAAAAGUUAAAGGAUAGUUUUAUAGUAGUUUUUCUAUGAUUUGUCUACAUUUUGAUUUAGGAGAUGUUUUUCUUGAUAGUUCCGCUAUAGUUUCUACAUUUUAUCAUGAUGAAUCUUAUCUAUUAGAGUAUACUUAUUUUAGUUACUUCAUUUGUAUUAGCAUACUUAUCUUAAUUUGCCUAGCAUAAUAGUUAAUAAUUUGUUAGUGCAAGAUAAUAGUGUACAACAUUUAAAUCCUUUAAUAAUUAUUGUAACCUAAUGAAAAGAAUUGUUGUGUUGUAAGUUUACUAUCAUAUGAAAAAACGUUUCAUAUGUCGAUCUGUUAUGGAUGUGUGUAGAUAUAUCUUAGAUGGUUACGAGAAAAUGGAAGUAGAAGUCAAUUCAGAAACCCAUAUGGUAAAAAAGAUUAAGGUAAGAUGUUUAAUUAUUUGACAAAUAUAUAUUUUUUAUUGUUAGAAUCAUUCUUAUAACGUUAUCUUCAAUCAAAUCAAGAUUGGAUCUCCAAAACUUCCUUCCAAGAAAAGAAAAAAAGAAUCUUCAAACUCAGAGCAUUCAACAACGAAACAGAAAGAAAACAAUGGUGAACUACAUUUAGGAAACGAAGUGGCACUCAUGUGUGAAAUGAUCGAGCUCAAAGAAACAAGCUAGUUUGUGGUAAGUUAUUAAAAUUUUAGUUGUACAUAAAACAAUCUCAUGAAGUUGGACAAUCACAAUUACCAUAAUGAUGUUAAAUCCAAGCAAGUUUGCUCGAUGGAUAACCUUAAAGAUCUUCCGAACCAUAAAGCAUUUGAUAAUCAAUCUUCCUCCAACUUCUCUAACGAUGAUGUACUAAUGCGAUCAUUGGUUCAGAAAGUAGAAACUGAAAGAAUUACAAAUUCACAUUGUCAUGAAGUAGUAGUUGUUCUCCAACAUGAAGUGGACAAGGUAAAAGAGGGUGAAAAUUAAGUGUUUGCUCACCUGAACAAAAGUAAUGAGUUGGACUCUGAAUUUUCACAAAGUGUAGGUAAGUGAUCGUAUCACUAGCUUAAUCCUUUUUUGUAAUUUUUUUUUAUUUUAUCAUUGUCACCAUCUUAUAUGAACAAUGAAUUUAAUAGUCCACAAAAUUCAUACAUUUCAGUAUGUGAAAUUUUUGUUUGUGUUAUGUAUUGUAAAUCUUUUUCCCACAUUAUGUACUAAUAAAAAUGGAUUUGAACUGUAUAUACAAUGAAAAUAAUUUUUUACACUUGGUAAAUUUAACCUAUUAUAAAGGUGAUAUUUAUAUUAAUAAUAAUAUACCUAUAACUAUUUCUUGACAAAUGUGAUUGUGUAAAUAUAUUUAUAUCACUAGAAUUUAAGUUAAACAAAACUAUUAGCUAUAUUGUGUGAGUAUUAUCUUUAGUUAUUUUUAUCAACGACUCAUCAUUUGUGUAGGAAAAGAAUGUUCAAGAUCUUCAAAAUUCGACAAACUUUCUUCCUCCAAUGUAUCGAUAGAUGUCCUUCACUUGAUGUCACCAUUAUUUCAAGAAGUACAGAAUACAAGCUUUGAAAACUUGGAGCUCCAAAAUAUUGUUCCUAAAGAUAAAGUACACAGAGAAAACAAUGAUCAUGUAGUCGUAACCUUGGCCAAGAAUGAAGAAUUGACCAUUAAUUUUUCAUACAAUGAAGGUAUUUAAUUUAGCCAAGCAAACAUGCUCCUAACGAUCACAUUCAAUAAGCUACACGUAUUAUAUAGUUAGUGGUUGCAUCUAUAGUUUUUAGUAAUUAACUUUUGAUCCAAAAGAAAAUGUUUUAGUUCCAUCGUAUGAUUAUUAUUAUUUCCUUUGUUUCAUUUUACCCGAUAUACUCUGUUUUAGUUUAUUCUGCAAAUAAUGAUGCAUCUCAAUAUUUGGAAAUAAUUUAAUUUUAAAAGUUUAGUUUAUGUUUGAUGAAAUAAUUUAUAACCACGUAAUAAUUUUAAGGAAAUUUUGGAUCAUAAUUCUUGGAAGCAUUUAUUUGUUUCUUAAAUUUCAUGUCUAGUCAAAUAAUAUCAUAUAAAUUAAGAUAAAUAAAGUAUUUUAAAAAAUAUUUAGACAUUGACUUCAUUUAUGUUUGCAGAAAAUAUGGAGCAAGUCCCCAUUUCACAAUCAUUAGAAAUCGAGAAUAAUGAGAAUGCUCAUAUGGAGAAGGGACUUCCUUAUGAAGACAGUUAUGGAGAAAAAGAAAUGAUUGUAAACUUGACCAAUAAUGUUAAGUUUGUGACUGCCGCUGAUUUCACACUAGAUACAAGUAUUUUAAUCAACUCCUAACAAAUGCAUGAGAUAAUCACAAGUUUUUUCUGGUUUGGAAAAAACAUUUACUUAUUUUCAUGUUUGGUUUGUCAAACUGUGGAAAAUAAUCUCUAAAAUGAAAAUAAGUAUGCUAAAACUAAGAAAAAUUACUUCUCCUAUGAAAUUAGGGAAAACAAGUAGCAUAAGUGGAAUUCUACACUAAUUGUCUAAUACCCAUCAAUCAAUCACAUUAGUGAUAUUCUAUACUAAUUGUCUAAUAUUCAUUCUCCAACACAUCUCACAAUCAAUCACAUAGCCCUCAUAUCUACUACCUCACACCCCUACCAUCAUAACCAUCCCCCAUCUAAUUUGUCAAAACUAUAUACUAAUAUAUCUGAAAUUAUAAUUUUUACCUACCUACAAAUAUUAGAAAAUAAGUUAAAAUCCACUUAUUUUUAGGAAUAAAUGGUGGCUAAUGAUGUUAAGUCUAUGUCCACAUACAACUUUACACUAAAUAAAUGUAUUUUUCACCAUAAAAUCUCUUAAUGAAUGCACUAGAUAAAUCGCAAGAAUUAUAUUCACCACAAAAAGUUGAAUGAAUGCACUGAAUAUAUCACAAGAAUUACACAAUUAAUGUAUAAUAUUUUGUUUGAGUUCUUUCACAUAAUCAAUACUAUUAUCUACAUUAAUUUGCUUUUUAAUAUUAAAUCUUCACAUAAUUUGAAGGUGAAAAUGACAAGGAAGGAGUAUGCAAUACUACAAACUUUGCCCUACCAGAAGUCGCUCCUCCAAUGAAAAUAGACAAUGCAAAAGAGGGAGACAAGACUACACUUGAGGAUUCACAUGGAAAAGAGGAUCAUCUAAUAUCUCAUGAUAACAUUUUUACAAAUAUGGAUAAUUUUGAUCUUUCUCACCUAAAGAAGGUAGUUUCUCAAUGUAUAAGUCUUUUAGAAAAAAAAAAUUAAUGAGUCACAAGAACUUGAAAUAUCAUAUUUUAUUUUCACAUAACUAAAGUCAUUUACCAUAUUACAUUGAUGAAUAUUUUUUUCUAAAUGUGCAGAAUUAGACGAUCUCUUUCUACUAUAUGGGAUAGAAAAUGAUUACUUUGAAGAUGCUUAUACUCACAAUAUCAAGGACAUGUGAUCUUCUUACGAAAAGUGUUGGCAUCAUUGUUCUAAUGAGACACUAUUAUAUCUUUGUCCUAGUAGUUGUUUGUGCUGAGAUAUACUAUUAAUCAUGUUGUUGAGUUAUAAUAUUUUAUUUUAAUUAAUCUAAGUAAAGACUAUUUUUAUUUUUAUUUUUAUUAAAAUAAAGUCUUGAUUUGAGUAUAUUAUUGUGUUAAUAUGCGUGUUCAUUACUUAUAUAGUAGAUAAUUUUUGUGUACAGAGUUAUCUAACUCAUGCACGAAAUAUUCAAAUUAUCGAUUCUCAUAAGUUAUAAAUUAAUGUUCACAAUUAAAUAUGAAGUAGGAAAAACAUCUUGAUGAUUGUAGAACAAGAUUAAAUAUAAUUUGAUCUAAAUUAUGGGAGUGCUCAUAUUCCAACUUCUUGUGCUAGUACAUUCCAUAUAUAUUAAACGAAUCAAGAAGAGAUGUUUGUUUAUGUCACAACCCGAGCCUACACCCUGGACGUGGCCGGCGCUCAAGAAGCAUUGGUGGUCCUCAAGCGAACCCUCAUCCUGGCUGACUAUUAGCGGAUGACUAACUCAAGCAUACAUAAGAAUCAAAUUGAAAGAAACAUUUAAAAACAGUUUGUCGAAUCUCAUCUUCGAAGUGGGCCAUUGAGGUCUAUUUGUUUUUUCCAUCGAGUCAGCCUCAUCCAAAGGAGCAUGGCCGCAAAAUCGAGUGAAAUUGGAAGAAAAAAUAUAGGUGCAAGGAACUGAUAUACACCGAUACACAGCAGUAGACAUAUGGAUGCAGACACUGUAUACAAUUCCAGUAAACCCGAAAUUAGGCCUCAAGCCCAAGAUCUUUGUACUAGCUAUCCAAAGGGGACUAAUAAAAGCAGAUUUCAUAACGAAAAAUGGGCUCAAAGGGCCCAAAUUAUGCAGCCUCAUUAUAAUUUAGGACAAGUGGAAGAAUGAGCCUAUUAAUCCAACAAUUUGAACUUGGGCAAAAGCCCAACUUUAUUCUCUACUUUACUUAUCAUUUCUUAUCAUUAUUAUUGUUUAACUCUAACUUUAUUUAUUUGGUUAAUUUAAUUAAAUCCCUUAAAGAUGAACCAUUUUUGUUAUGAAGGUUUAUUUCAUUUAAAUGAUUUAGUCAAUUGGUUUGUCUUUACUUAGUCAUUUUUUCUAAAGCUUACUUUCCUUUCUAUAUUAUUUCAAAGUGUUCAAGUUAGUUUAUUUUAAAAUAAUUUUAAAUAUUUUAUUUACUUAAUUAAUAUAUUCAAAGUUGGUCAAAUAACUUAGUCAAGUCGUAGGUCAACCGCCCGUUAGCGGACAUUUUAAGUGCCUAACACCUUCUUGAAGUGUAAAUUGAACCCCGAACCCUUUUGAUAUAUUAAAAUAAUUUUUCUAUUUAAGUCUUUUGAAAUUUAUAGGUUUUCUUGAUUUUUCUUCAAAAAAAUUAAGCGGCGACUCUUGAAAAUCAUUUUUUCUUGAAAGGUUAAUUGAGUUUUGAAAAUUAAGUCAUUUAUUUCUUUUUCAAUAAAACAUCGAAAAUGUUUUGGGGUCCGAUCAAAAUAAACUAGACAUGCUACCCCUCUAAAAUCGACAAUCAGACUCAAUGAAAUCAUCAGAUUUCCAAAAAAAGUCAAAUGAUGGAAUUAUCCUUCCGGACCACUCUUAAGGCUAAAACUCAACUUUUCACCCAAACACCUCAAAACUCAACUGAAGGCCUGGGAAACCUUACCAACCACCUCACUAGAUCAAACUCCACGUUCUGAACGCCAUGGAACUGACGGAUAUCCCAUCCGAUGCUUGGAACUCCAAAUGUUGAUCGAAGUCAACUCUAUCAAGAAUUCACACUCAAGAAGGGUCAAAUUACCAAAAACACAUCCGAUCACAUUGGGGACCACACCAAUCAUCCCAAAAAUACAAACUAAGCAUGGAAAUGCUAAGGGAAAGGGUAAAUUAUGUCGACCCGAACCAUCGUUAUUUAGGAAAGGAAAAAUGCUGAGGAAAUCUAAGUCCAUCAUCCUGCCAGAGCGAGCCAGAUGCCCCUAAGGUAGCGGCGCUCCAGCGGGACAUAGAGCGCCAGAGCGGGACGGACGCGACCAGAACUUAAAUAACGCGAAACCUUAUUUUUUUCCUUUUUUCCCAAAACACCAAAAAGAGGUGAGAAUCACCCCAGAAACCCUCGAAAAGGAUGCUCUAGGCUUGGGAAGGAAGGGGAAGAUAUUUCUAGUGCAAAGAGGUCGAUAUCUUGUGGAUUUCUGGUCAAAAUCCACCUUCUCGUCGUUCGGAAACCUGAAUUGGAACUAUAAUCUCUCUACAACUGCUUGUGUAACGACUGGUUCCCGUCAUUAUAGAAAAUCCAACGGGGAAGAAUUUUGGGCCAAAAUUUUUUUUCGUAGUAAGAAAUCACGACGGUCUGGGUCGUGAAAGCUUGGCGCCCAGGUAGGCAAGGUUUAUUAUUAAGUAGUUGUAAAUCUGUGAUUCACUGUGUAGUAUAUUGGUAAUUGAUGGUAGAAUUCAUGCGUAGGCUUUCGUGCACCGAAAAAAGGGAUAGUCGUACAUGUAUUUCUAGUUGUUCCAUCAGAAUUAUACCGUAGGAGGAAGCCUAAUCAUGUGAAGUAAAGUAGGUGAUGAUUUGAUUUCAUAUUUUGCAUGAUGUAUGUUGGUAAUUACUUCAUUGUAAUCUUGUAUGCAUGUGAAUAAAGCCUUGUUGAUCAAACCUAAUGAACUGAGUAUAAAUGAACAAAUGUAUACCAUGAUUCAACACUUGAUUGUAUGAUUUUGAGUAUGUACGUAUGAGUGUGAUUGUGAUUGUGGUUGUAUUGAAUGAAUCAGGUCUCACGUUUCGACACUUAUAUUGGAGCGGGUGUCACGUUCUGACAAACUAAUUGGGAUUGGGUGUCACGUUUCGGCACACUAACAGUCUAGGUGUGGGUUCCGUGAGAGAACCAUUGAAUUUUCAUAUCUACUUGUUGCGAGAAUGUGGGAUUGUAUAUUGUCUCUGAAAUGAUGAAUGUAUCGUAGUUCUGUAUAUGUAUGUUUAUUAUGUGGUGUUUACUUGUUAUAUCUCAUUAAUGAAUGAACGGUGUAUGGUCAAGACCAUAUUGGGAGGAGGUAUGGUAAGUGGAGACAGAGGGUCUAGGUGUUACUUUGUGUACUUUAGAUAAGUGAUUUGUGUCCUUAAAGUGUGAAUUGGGGUGGUGGUAAGUCGUAAAGGCUAAAUAGCUAGGGUCACCCAGGGGAUUAGUAGGUGAAAGGGAUAACAAAGCCUUGAUAGAACUUUCUAUGGAGUUAAGGGUUGAGUAGUGAGGUAGAAAAAGUAAGGGUAUGUCGUGAGUGGUUGGCAAGGUUGGUAAUGGUUACAUCCGCAAUCUCCUCUAAGAGGUAGAAUGGUUAAGCUAUGAUCAAGAACGUAGCGCGUGAGGGGCUAAAGUCUAGUGUACUAGUAUACUUAUUAAGUAUUCGAGAAUGGAAAAGGUGGAGGAAUGAACAGUCUCACUGCAUGUUUCCUGCUAGUCGUUUUCUUAUAUUAUGUGGUGGGCAUCGGGUUGAUCGAUGAUGCCUACUAGUACAUGUGGUUUGUACUGAUACUACUUUUGCUAUGCCUUUUGGCAUAGCAACAAGGGUCAGUGAUGUUUCAUGGGUGAAGACGAAGUCAAUCUCCAACAACUUCUAUUUUUCCUUUCCUGCGAUGGGAGCUAUGUCAGUUGUACUGCAUUUUCUACUUUGUAAUCUUAGAAGCUCUUGUACCUAUUUAGACUAGAUCGUUGGGGAAGUUAAUUACUUUACUAGUUAACUUUGAGUCAUUUAAAACUCUUAUUUUAUAAAACAUUACAUGAAUUUAUUUUAUUUGUCAGUAAUCUUAAUUUUCCGCAUUUUAAAAAUGCUUGUGAAUGGACGGUUCUCCUACUUAGGUGUUAGAGUAGGUGCCCGUACGGCCUGGUGGGUUGGAUCGUGACAAAUUGGUAUCAAAUCCCAGGUUACCGGUCUCCCAGUACAAGAGCAAAUGUGGACUAGACUCCUAAGGAUUGGUGUGUUAACGUCCACAUCUAAUCUUCAGGAAGCUAUGAAGCAUUCUAGGAAGUGUUCCCUUUUUUCUCUCCUUUCGUGCGAGUUGUCGCUUGUGGUAUGGGUUGAGUCCAAUUGGUAUCUCCCGAUUCCAAUUGGUAUUUUAACAAAGUAAAACUGGACGUCGUGGUCACGACUGAAGGGACACAAGCAAGGUAAAUAGGAAUUGGAAGGUUUCAAUUGGUAUCUUGCCGGAGAGGUUUUAUAAGUGCAUGUAUGAUCAGUAAUGGUCAUCUAUGGAACGAACUAUUAAAUAAUUUGGGCUUUCUGUGAAUUGUAGCGUGAACCUGUGAAUGUGUGCAUAUUUUUGUCUGAAUUAAUUGUUGAUGUGGAAGUGGUAUUGGCUUGGAUUGCUAUGAUAUGGUUAUGUGCACAGUAUGGCUUGUCCAGACUUUAAUGUGUGCAAAAUGCUAGCCUAAUUGUUUGAAACAGUGUGUGUGGUAAUUGCUUGAGUUUCGUGAGCUUGUGGUCGGAAAGAGAGUCGUCACUAUGUUCGGUGCAAAGGUCUAGAUAAGCUACGAUGUGAUUCGUAAAAUGAAAUUUGGACGUUUGUUGCGAUCGACUAUAACUGUGUGAGUAUAUAGGCAUAUCUUGGGGAUAUGCGUGUCUAUGGUGUGAAUUAAUGUGAAGGGACUCUGGAGUGCGUACCGUGGGGAUUGACUCGAGGUAGACAAUGAAUAUCCUAGGUAAGAGGAUUGUCCUAACUGCUUAGUUAUAGCCUGGGAAUCAAGGGAAAACUUUUAAAAAAUGGGAAGAAGCCAGGAAAUUGUGACUAGGGUGUUGUUUCCGUCAGAGCCGUUGGGGCGGGAUUAUUCCCCCAGGGCGAUACCGCCAGAACGGGAUAGGGAAAGACAAAAUCUCUGCCCUGUCUCCCCUGGGUUUUUUUCCUGGACACACAUAUAGACCCUGAAUCGUGUAUGGACUAAUCCCUGCAAUUCAACAAGUAUUCAGUAAUAGAAUAGUAAGUUAUAAACCUUAGCAUUAAAACAUUAGGUGUGAUAAACAGCAAAAACCAUCAUCCAUGUGCUUACAAAAAGUGUAAGGAAAAAUUAAAGAAAAAUUAAAGCAUUGUUCAGUACAGGCCCAAAAGGGGCGAAAACCAAAUCAAUGUCCCUGGGAGCGGGAAGUAUCACUGUCCGAGUCUAGAUCCUCCGGGGGUAUCACGCCAGACCAGGCCUCGUUCAACCAAGGGAACUCUACAGAGUCUCCCGGCUCAAGUUGGGGAACCUCCCUCUAGGGGGCAUCAUAAUAAAAGAUGUCAUUUAUGGUCUUCCACAUCCGGGACAUCAGAUGAUCCCUCUCUAUACUCUUCCUCCUCUCUAGUCUCAACUGGCGGUGGAGCAUCUCGACCUCAACAGCAGUGGCGGGUGGAAGUGAAGUGGAGUUAGCAUAAGAGCGUCCCGAUCUCCUUCGGGCGGCUGCUAGGUCCUCCUCCACCCGAGCACUGAUAAUGGGGGAUAAGACUGGGUAGGGAGAGUGUCGCCACCAACAUCAUCUUCCCCUCCUUCGUCAUCCGCCUCUGCAGCCGUUUGGCUGCUUUUGGCCCUGUCCGUCUUCCUCCUCUUACUCCCGAAGGUGGAAGCAUGUCUAAUCAAAAGGGGAUGAAAAGGGGGAUCCAUAUGAAGUACCUCAUCGGUGUCCACGAGUGGCACCUCCUAUCUUUUGCACAUUACAGUCACCAGCCCAGGAAGGAAAAAUGCCUUCUUGUUGCCCAUGUAGAACACCUUCCAUUCUGAGAUGAUCUGCGCGCCCACAUUUAGUCCAAUGCCCGAUAUAUUGCACGCCACCAGCAAAGCUUGAGGAAAUUUCAUGUUGGUGCAGUUGCCCGACGAGCGAAUCCUCCUGGAAACCAAGUGCAGCCACCUCUUGGCAUCCGGUGACCAGUUAUCACUAGUGAUACUCUCCGUAGUGGCCUAGUAGACCCUGUCCCAGCGCGCAGGAUCCACCAGUGUAUCUUUCAACCAACCCAGAUCCAUCUCUCUCAGCUUGGCCUCAAACUCCGUAUUAUGGACCUCUGGAACCUCGAGCACAUCAUUUAUGAACUGUGUGUUUUGGGGGAUGUCAACUCCCCGGAUGCAGAUGAUAGGGUGAGGAUCAUCCCAGCGAACAGUAGGGAGGAUGACAUAGAACUUCCUCACCCAGUUAGAGCGUGCAGCAAGGGGAGCCUUUGUCAGUGGGGCCCACCUAAACUCCAUCAGACAAGCAUAAAAGGCAGGUGCCUUCUCCUCUAGGUUCAGUAAAUGGAAACCCCUCUUGCAGCAGAACUUGGUGUUUCGGUGAUCGUGGUAUCCCUCCCGAUUGGCAGCAUCGGGAAACCGGACGAAUGACAGAUUCUCCUCAUUAAUAACAACCAUAUAAGUCUGUAAAUACUAUGUGACAUGCACAUUAGAACUCCCUGGGAUUAGACAAUGUUCAGAAAUUUCAGAUUUAAAUGGCAAAGGCCAAUGCCCCCUGAAUCCCGCCACAACGGUCUCAAUCCCGCCAGAGCGGAAUGAGGGAGGUCGCUACAGCAGGAUGAUGGCCGCCAGAGAAGCCUUCAUUUGGGACAAACUUCAGGCUCGAUUAUGGCGCCCUUUCGUCCCAAAAACCUCGUUUUGAUAGAAUUUUAGCAGAUUAGAGUCUAUAAAGUACCCCAAUACCUAAAUAUACGAUUAUUUUAGCAAAAUAACCCAUAAAUGAUCCCCCGAAUCCGAGUUUUACACCUAGAAACCAUUCAACUUCCCCCACCCAUUUUAGAAUUGUUUCAAACGUAUUUUCGUGAAAUCCUUAUGCUCUGAACGUUGUGGAGACGUUGUGAACGAAAGGGAAGUGUCCAUGCUACGUUUUUCUAACAAAUCAAGAAAUCUAUUUUUGCAAUUUUGAAAACUACCCUAAAGCUAUUCUAAUCAAUCAUUUAACGUCAUGCCAUCAUAGUUAAGUAAGUAAUAAAGUAAAGAGCGCAAGGGACGAGAAAAUUACCUUGAAGUUGUCGUUCUAAACCAAGUGAGUGAGAGGAUUUUGAGAGUUUUUAAUGAUAAAGGGAGGAAAUGGGGAAACCUUUCCCUUUUCCCCCUUUUACUGUAUUUGAUCUCCCAUUACGGCGGGAGGGCCAUCACCACAGCGGCCCUGCCUCAGCGGAAAGACUGCUGCUCUGGCGGGGUUAGGCUAGGAAAAUUGGCACACCUUUGUUCCUUUGUGUGUUGCCUCAUUCCCUAGCUGGUCCCUGGAGUAUAGAACCCUUCGUGCUUAAAAAUUAGAAAACUACCAUCCUCCGUGAUUCCGUAUUGAGCCGAUCCACUAGUUUAGAAGUACUCCGAGAGGGACUCGUGUCCAUCCCUUCGCUGGUCAUUCAGGGACGAGCAGGGGUAAAUUUGUAUCUAUUAUAACGACCUGAACCAUCGUUAUUUAGGAAAGAAAAAACAUCAGGGAAAUCUGGGUCCAUCAUCCAGCUAGAUACCGCUAGGGCGGCGGUGCUCCAGCGAGACAUGGAGCACCAGAGCGGGACGGACGGGACCAUUACUUAAAUAACGCGAAACCUUAUUUUCUCCUUUUCUUUCCCAAAACACCAAAAAGAGGUGAGGAUCACCCCAAAAACCCUCACAAAGGCUACUUUAGGCUUAGGAAGGAAGAGGUACAGAUUUCUAGUGUAAGGAGGUUGAUAGCUUGCGGAUUUUCGGUCAAAAUCUAUUGUCUCGUCAUUCGAAAACCUGAAUUGGAACUAUAAUUUCUCCACAACUACUUGGCGCCCAGGUAGGCUAGGUUUAUUAUUAAGUAGUUGUAAAUCCGUGAUUCCUUGCGUAGUAUACUGGUAAUUGAUGGUAGAAUUCAUGUGUAGGGCUUCGUGCACCAAAAAAGGGACAGUUGUACAUGUAUUUCUAGGUGUUCCAUCAGAAUGAUACCGUAGGAGGAAGCCUAAUCCUGUGAACUAAGGUAUAUGAUGGUUUGAUUUCAUAUUUUGAAUGAUGUAUGCUGGUAAUUGCUUCAUUGUAAUGCAUGUAUGUAUGUGAAUGAAACCUUGUUGAUCAAACCUAAUGAAAUGAGUAUGAAUGAACAAAUGUAUGUCAUGAUUCAACACUUGAUUGUAUGAUUAUGAGUAUGUAUGUAUGCCUGCGGUUGUGAUUGUGUUGAAUGGAUCAGGUGUCACGUUCUGACAAACUAACUGGGAUCGGGUGUCACGUUCCGACACACUAAUUGGGAUCGGGUGUCACGUUCUGGCACACUAACAUUCUGGUUGUGGGUUCCAUGACAGGACCAUUGAAUUGUCAUAUCUACUUGUUGUGAGAAUAUGGGAUUGUAAAUUGUCCUUAAAAUGAUGAUUGUAUCGUAUGUUCUGUAUGUGUAUAUUUAUCAUGUAGUGUUUACUUGUUAUAUGUCAUUACUGAAUGAACGGUGUAUGGUCAAGCCCAUAUUGGGAGGGGGUAUGGUAAGUGGAGACCGAGGGUCCGAGUGUUACUUUAUGUACUUUAGAUAAGCGGUUUGUGUCCUUAAAGUUUGAAUUGGGGUGGUGGUAAGUGGUAAAGGUUAAAUAGCUAGGGUCACCCUCGUAGGGGAUUAGUAGGUGAAACAGUUAACAAAGCCUUGAUAAAACGUUCUAUGUAGUCAAGGAUUGAGUAGUAAGGUGGAAGAAGUAAGGGUAAGUCGUGAGUGGUUGGCCGGGUUGGUAAUGGUUACAUCUGCAAUCUCCUCUAAGAGGUAGAAUGGUUAAGCUAUAUUGAAGAAUGUAACGCGUGAGGGGAUAGAGUCAAGUGUACUAGUAUACUUAUUUAGUAUUCGAGAAUGGAAAAAGUGGAGGAAUGAACAGUCUCAUUGCAUGUUUCCUGCUAGUCGAUUUCUUAUAUUAUGUUGUGGGCAUCAAGUUGACCAAUGAUUCCUACCAGUACGUGUGGUUUGUACUGAUACUACUCUUGAUAUUCCUUUUGGAAUAGUCUGGUUGCAGUUGUGUCAGUUGUACUGCAUUUUCUACUUUGUAGUGUUAGUAGCUCUUGUACCUGUUUAGACUAGAUCCUUGGGGAAGUUAAUUACUUUACAAGUUAACUUUGAGUCGUUUAAAACUCUUAUUUUAUAAAAUAUUAUAUGAAUUACUUUUUUUCACCAGUAAUCUUAAUUUUCCACAUAUUUAAAAUGGUUGUGAAUGGAGGGUUCUCCUACUUAGGUGUUAGAGUAGGUGCCCGCACGGCUCGGUGGGUUGGGACGUGACAUAAAUGGGCCACCUAAAUCAUUUUGUACUGAAAGUUAUAUCUAUUUGAAGUUGACCCAAAACUCAUAACUUAGCAUAACUUGCAAAAUUUCAAAUUUUGACUCUUUCCAAAUUAAUUCUUUCUAAAUUUAGCACUUUCUAAGGUGGGAUGUUAUACAUUGCCUCACUUAUGUUUCUUUAAUGUCAUUCAAACUUAUUUCAUCUCUCAAAUUGUUCAAGUGAGUGAAGGCUUGUCCUAGUCACUCAUUAUGCAGUAGAGGUUUUAUAACAACCUGAUCCCGCCUUUAUAGAAAGACCAAUGGGGAAAAAAUUUGGGCGGAAAAACUUUUUCAUAGUAACUUAAGAAUUCCUAGCCUAGUCCAGAUUUGGACGAAAUCGGAGUUAGUAAGGUCUAGGGAAAUCUGGUACUAAUUGAGAGAUCUAAUAAUGAAUUUGAUCGCAUGAAUGGAUAGCUAACACGUUGAGAAACCAUAUGACUUUAGGAAAUCGAAUUCGGGUGAGUAGAACUCCCGAAACUGAUCUUAGCGGGAACGGGUAUUUUCUGAGUGUCAUGGGAUGAAGGUGUGUUGUGAAAUGGAGGUUUGGAACUCUUAAAAUAGCUCAUUGUUUCCAUGCAAACCACCAAUGCAGGAUUUUUCCCGCUAGGGUGCAGUCGUUGUGGCGGGAUGGGGCCGCCAUAGCAGGCAAGUCGCGAAUUAAGUCGGAAAUAAACCCCAAAAUUGUUAUUUUCUUCAAGUUUCAUUCUUGAGAGCUAAGAGACGACUACAUGUGUUUUUUUGACGGUUUUUCACCAUUCUUGAGGCUAAAUGUAUGAUUUUUACUCCCCGAAUCCAUUUUUCGAUCCGUCGAAUGUAAAUUCAUGGGUAAUUAUUGUUGAGGGAGGGUUUUGAAGCUGUUUGGAUGGUGGAAAAAGCACUAAUUUGGGUAUUGGGAUCAUGGGUUUGGUCUAGGGUUGGUAGUGUUGAUUGUAAUCUGGGUAAUUAGCCAUCGUAUAUUAAUCCUCGCAUUAUUUUGAUUGUUUGUAGACCACGAACAAUCCAGAAAAGGAAGAAUCAAGUUUCUUAGGAGGGUUCAAACUUUGUUCGAGGUAGGUGAUGGUUGUGAUUUCAUGUUGUUGUAAGGUAUAUUAGUAAUUACUUCAUUAUAAUGCACAUAUGUAUGCGAAUGUUGCACUAAUGAUCACCCUAAUCAUAAAUGAGCAUGAAUGAAUGAUGGUAUGCCAUGAAUCAACACUUGAUUGUAUGAUUAUGAGAAUGUACAUUGUGUUUGUGCUUGUGGCUUGUUGAAUGAAGCGGGUGUUACGUUCCAACACAAUAACUUGGAUCGGGUGCCACGUCCCGGUGCAUAUAUGGGAUCGGGUGUCACGUCCGACACACUAACUUUGAUCGAGUACCACGUACCGGUACACUAACAAUUUCGGUAUGGGUUCCAUGAGAGGACCAUUGAAUUGACAUGAUUGUAUAUCUUGAGAAUUGUGAAAUUGUACGUUGUUCGUUAGUUAUAAUUGAUAUUGUAUAUCUUUAGUGUAUGCAUGUUUAUUAUUGUUAUAAUGACUUAUAUAUGUUUAACCUAUUGGGAUAGCUGCAUGAUCCUACCAGUACACUAUGGUUGUGUACUGAUACUGCUCUUGCUCUUUCUUUGUUGAGUACAGGGAAUCUUCAAGUAGCAACUGACAGAUCUCGUUUAGAAGACCAGUGAUCGACUCGAAUUCAAGAGUGAGCUAGUUCUUCCGAGCUGCCAUGAGUUCUCUUUUUGUUUUCGUCCACAUCUUCGGACUUAAACUAGUACUUAGAUUCUCUUAUGUUUAAUUGGGUUGUACCCAUUUCCUUUAGACUUAUGAUCUUUGUUAGAGUUUUUGUACAUUGAUUUUCAGGUUCUAGGCAUUUUUUCUGCAUUGGGUUGUUCAACUUCGGAGUUUAUGGGAACUCCCUAUUUUUCCUUCAGCCAUUUAAACCUACUUCCGUAUUUUUAAAUGCCUUAGUUUUUUGUUGAGUUGUUUAGUUUGGGUUGUAGUAAUGGUUCUCCCAUCGGAGGGUUAGUGUGGGGCCAAUCACGAUGGUAUGGGUCAUGACAAAGUUGGUAUCAAAGCCCUAGGUUGAUUGAACUUAAUCUACCAAAACGAGUCUAGUAGAGUCUUGCAAAGUGGUAUGGAGACGUCUGUACUUUUCUUCGAGAGGCCAGAGGACUUUAGGAAAUCUCUCGGUUUCUUUUAUCUCCUUUCAUGCUAUAACUUAGUUCCAAUUGGUAUCUGGUGAUCCAAAUUGAUAUCUAAUGUCCUUCACUCAUCUAUCCGCUGAUGGUUAAAACUAAGUUCAACGACGUCAAGCCAUUAGCUCCCGUCAAUACGCCAGUUGAGGAAUCCGCAGCAAGAGGUCGCAAGCGAGGCCGGGGUAGAGGAAGAGUAAGGGGCAGAGGCCGAGGAAUGGUAGCACCUACUAGGGAUGGAGUUCCGAUGGAAAAUGCUCCCAAAAAUGAGAAUCAUCAUGCGCAUCAUGAAGAGAUAGAGGAAAAUGUAGAGAUUGAGGAUGAGGAGAAUGUUGGACAAGAGGAAGAGGUGUAGGCUGAGACUACAUGUAUUCCCCCCUUAGACCCGGUGUUAGCUCAACAGAUUAUGUCAUUCCUAAAAGGCUUGGUUGGUCCUGGAGUGUUUCCCUCUGUUCAAGCAACUCAAGCUCCCUCCAAUCCUCCUGUUGUUAUCACCGUCCCCAAGGUGGGUGGAACUGUAGGUACUGAUGUUUGUUUCCAUCCUUUGGUGGGUCCUGUUAUGACUGGUAAUGAACAUGAGAUGUUGACUAAGUUUUUGAAAUUGAAACCACAUGUGUUCCAUGGGUCCGAGAGUGAGGAUGCUUAUGAGUUCAUCCUAGAUUGUUAUGAGAAGCUUCAUAAGUUGGGAAUUGUCCAUCAGCAUGGAGUAGAGUCUGUGACCUUCCAAUUUCAUGGCGAGGCUAAGCAGUGGUAGCGAGCUUAUGUGGAAUGCAGAUCUUCAACUUUACCCCCACUCACUUGGACCCAAUUUCAUGCUCUAUUCUUGGAAAAGUAUGUGCGAGAUCGCAAGAAAGAUGAGUUCAUGGCUUUGGACCAAGGUGGUAUGUUUGUGGCUACUUAUGAGGCUAAGUUCCAUGCUUUGUCGAGAUAUGCUAUGCAAUUGGUAACUACUGAGGAAGAGAAGAUCCGCCUAUUUGUUAAGGGACUGAAUUCUGAGUUGCAGGUAUUGUCUUCUCAUAUGACCUCUGCAGGAUAAAGCUUCAAUGAGGUAAAAUAUUUUGUGAAGAAAGUGGAAGGGUGCGGCGAGACGGUCAGGCUAAGGCAUUGGCUAAGAAAGCCAAGAAUUCAGGUAACUUUCAGGGUUCUUACUUUAGAGGUUCAGGUAGGCCGACACUUGCAGCCUGGCCAAUUCAGUCCGCUAUGCCCGCUUCUACAGGUAAUUACUCGGGAAUUCCACCUCAGAAUUUAAUUCAGGAUAGCAGGGAGCCGCACUUUUAGCAGGCAACAAGUCAUCUUUUGAUGGCAGUUAUUAUUACUGUGGAGAACCUGGGCAUAUGAGGAGAGAUUGUUCCCACCCGCGCAUGAUGAAUUCCGUGCAGCAGUAGUCCAGAGCAGUGAUACCCACGGGAAAUGGUAGUAAUGGUCGAGGCGUCCACAAGGUGGGCGAGGAGGAAAUCAGCGAGGCCGUGGAGGUCAGGGAAAUGGUAACGGAGGCAGAGGUACAACGUAGCCAGGCAAGGAAAUAGCCUGUUAUGAUGGCAGGGCUCAGUGUUAUGCCUUCCCGGGCAAGACCGAGGCGAAGGUGUCUGAUGAAGUGAUCACAGGUACUAUUCUUGUCUGCGACCGAAUGGCUACUGGGUUAUUUGAUCCGGGUUCUACUUAUUCUUAUGUGUCCGUUCAGUUUGCCUUGGAAUUUGAUAUGACUUGUGAUGUACUUGAUGCCCCCAUCAAUGUUUCUACCCCCGUUGGAGAGUCUGUCAUAGUCACCCAUGUUUAUCGUGCUUGUUCUGUUAUGUUUAUGGGUUUCCAAACUUGGGCUGAUGUGGUUAUAUUGGAUAUGUCGGACUUUGAUAUAAUCUUAGGCAUGACUUGGUUGUCCCCCUGUUAUGUUGUGCUUAAUUGUAUUACUAAGUCUGUCACUCUAGAAAUUCCGGGAAGGGAAAAGUUAGAGUGGGAAGAGGUGUGCAACCCUAAGCAAGCUAAGAUCAUAUCCUUCAUUCAGGCUAGGAAACUGGUAGGGAAGGGUUGUUUGGCUUAUUUAGCCCAUAUUUAGGAUGUUGAGGUUAAGUCUCCCUCUAUUGAGUUUAUUCCUAUGGUGUCAAAAUUAGAGAAGUGUUCCCUACUGAUUUUCCUAGUAUUCCUCCGGAUAGAGAUAUAGAUUGCUACAUUGAUUUAGAACCUGGUACCCGCCCCAUCUCCAUCCCUCCGUAUUUCAUGGCUCUGGUAGAGUUGAGAGAGCUUAAGGCUCAAAUCCAAGAACUGCUUGAUAAGGGUUUCAUCUGUCCUAGUGCUUCCCCGUGGAGUGCUCCUAUCUUGUUUGUUAAGAAAAAGGAUGGUAGUAUGAGAAUUUGUAUAGAUUACCGGCAAUUGAAUAGGGUCACCAUUCGAAACAAUUACCCAUUGCCUCGAAUAGAUGAUUUUUUGACCAAUUGCAAGGUGCAUUAGUUUUCUCUAAGAUUGAUCUAAGGUAUGGUUACCAUCAGUUAUAGAUUAGGCUUGAGGACAUGCCCAGGACGACGUUUAGAACCCGCUAUGGGCACUACGAGGUUCUAGUUAUGUCAUUUGGGUUAACAAAUGCGUCUGCAGCUUUCAUGAGUUUGAUGAAUGGUGUGUUCAAACCCUUCUUGAUUCAUUUGCUAUACUAUUUAUUGAUGACAUUUCGGUUUACUUGAAAAGUGAGAAAGAGCAUGCCGACCAUCCCCAUAUUGUUCUGGGUGUUCUAGGGAAACAAAAGUUGUAUCCAAAAUUUUCUAAGUGUGAAUUUUGAUUGACAUCGGUUGCCUUUUUGGGACAUGUAGUUUCAAAAAAUGGGGUAAUGGUAGAUCCCCAAAAGAUUGAAACGGUUAAGAAUUGGGUUCGGCCAAGCUCUGUGAGUGAAGUUAGGAAUUUUGUGGGGCUCACUAGCUACUAUCGUUGAUUUGUGAAGAACUUUGCUUCUACUGCCACACAUCUGACUAGAUUGACCAAUAAAUAGGUACCCUUUGAAUGGACUGAAAAGUGUGAUGAGAGCUUUCAAAAGCUCAAGACUCUUUUGACAACAACACCUAUUCUAGCAUUACCGGUGGAAGGUAAAGAUUUUAUUGUUUAUUGUGAUGCUUCACAUUCGGGUUUGGGUGUUGUGUUGAUGCAGGAUAAGAAUGUUAUAGCUUAUGCAUCGUGACAAUGGAAGGUGCAUGAGAGAAAUUACCCAACAGAUGAUUUAGAGUUGUAAGCGGUAGUGUUUUUUCUUAAGAUCUGGCGGCAUUACCUUUAUGGUGUUAAGUGUGACAUGUUUACUGAUCAUCGGAGCUUGCAACAUGUGUUUACUCAAAAGGAUCUGAAUUUAAGACAGCGAAAGUGGAUGGAGUUACUCAAGGAUUAUGAUGUGACCAUCCAGGGGGUGUGCUCAAUUUUAAAGGAAGGAUUUGUGUUCCUAGAGUGUGUGACUUGAUUCAAAAAUUGUUGACAGAAUCCCACGGUUCGCGAUAUUCCUUUCAUCCGGGUGUGACCAAGAUGUACCGAGAUUUGAAGCAACUUUAUUGGUGGCAUGGCAUGAAGAAAGAUAUAGUGAAAUUUGUGGCUAAGUGUCAAAAUUGCCAAUAAGUAAAAUAUGAGCAUCAAAGGCCGGCAAGGUUGCUUCAGAGAAUGCCAAUUCAAGAAUGAAAGUGGGAAAGAAUUGCUAUGGAUUUUGUGGUCGGUCUUACCAAGACUUUGGGAAAGUUUGAUUCUAUUUUAGUAGUGGUUGACAGAUUGACUAAGUCGGCCCAUUUUAUUCCGAUCAGAAUAGAUUAUAAUCCGCAGCAAUUGGCUAUGGUGUAUGUGAAAAAGAUAGUAAGGUUGCACGGGGUUCCCCUUUCUAUCAUCUCAGUUUGUGGUACAUAGUUCACAUCCAAGUUUUAAAGGAAACUACAUGAUGAAUUGGGCACACAACUCACUUUUAGUACAACUUCCAUCCACAGACGAACGGGCAAUCGGAGAGAACUAUCCAAAUGUUAGAGGAUAUGUUGAGGGCAUGUGUGAUUGACUUUGGAGGGCAUUGCAAAAAGUUCCUACCAUUGUGUGAGUUCUCCUACAAUAAUAGUUACCACUCCAACAUUGAUAUGGCAUCGUUUGAGGCACUCUAUCGGAAGGGAUGUAGAUCUCUCAUAUGAUGGUUUGAGGGUAGAGAUGUGAAACCUUUGGUGGUUGAUUUGGUGAAGGAUGCUCAAGAUAAGGUAAAAAGCAUCCAAGAAAAGUUGUUAGAAGCCUAGAGUAGAUAGAAAAAGUAUGCAGACCAUAAGGUAAGAGAUAUGGCAUUUCAAACUGGUGAAAAAGUUCUUCUUAAGGUAUCACCUAUGAAAGGGGUGAUGAGAUUUGGCAAAAAGGGCAAGCUUAGUCCUCGGUACAUUGGACCAUUUAAAAUUCUUGACUGUGUAGGACCGAUAGCGUAUAGAUUGGCUUUACCUUCCAACCUAUCGGGGGUUCAUCCGGUAUUUCAUGUGUCCAUGUUGAAGAGAUAUCAUGGUGACAGGGAUAACUUCAUUAUGUGGGACUAAGUGUUGUUAGACAAAGACCUCCAAUAUGAGGAGGACCCGAUUGCAAUUCUUGAUCGUGAUGUCCGGAAGCUGAGGACCAAAGAGAUUAAGUCCGUGAAAGUUCAAUGGAAACAUCGUCCGGUUAAGGAAGACACUUGGGAAACCGAAAAGGACCUGCAAGACAAGUAUCCCCAGUUAUUCUUCGAUUCAGGUACCACUCCACUUUUACUUUAGCCUAUUUUUUCUUAAGUUUGUCACUUGGAGACGAGUGAGGGGUAAAUUGGUAUCUAUUUUAACGACCUAAUUCCGUCGUUAUAGAAAACCAAAGGGGAAAAAUUUUGGGCCGAAAUCCUUUUCGUAGUAACUUAAGAAUUCCUAGCCAAGUCCAGAUUUGGACGAAAUUGAAGUCAGUAAGGUCUAGGGAAAUAUGGUAAUAAUUAACAAAUCUAAUAAUGAACUUGAUCGCAUGAAUGGAUAGCUAAGACAUUGAGGAAACCGUAUGACAUUACGAAAUUGAAUUCGGGCGAGUAGAACUCCUGAAACUGAUCUUAACGUGAGCAGGUAGUUUCUGAGUGUCAUAGGAUGAAGGUGUGUUGUGAAAUGUGGGUUUGGAACUCUUAAAUUAUCUCACUUUUUCUGUGCAAGUCGCCAAGGCAAGAUUUUUCCCGCCAAGGCGGGACCACUGUGGCGGGAUGGGGCUGCCAUAGCGGGCCAGUCGCGAAUUAAGUCGAAAAUAAACCCCAAAAUUGUUAUUUUCUGUAAUUUUGGUUCUUAAGAGCUAGGAGACGACCCCAGGUGUUUUCUUGAUGGUUUUUCACCAUUCUUGAGGCUAAAGGGAAGGUUUUUACUCCCAUGAUCCAUUUUUCGAUCCGUAGAAUGUAAAUUCAUGGGUAAUUAUUGUUGGGAGGGGGGGGGAGUUUGGGCUGUUUGGAUAGUCGAAAACCCCAAAUUUGGGUAUUGGGAUCAUGGGUUUAACCUAGGGUUGGUAGCGUUGAUUAUAAUCUGGGUAAUGAGCCAUCGUUUAUUGAUCCUCGCAUUAUUUUGAUUGUUUGUAGACCACAAACAAACGGAAAGAAUCCGGAAAGGGAAGAAUCAAGUUUCUUAGGAGAGUUCAAGCUUUGUUCGAGGUAGGUGAUGGUUGUUAUUUCAUGUUGGUGUGAUGUAUAUUAGUAAUUACUUCAUUAUAAUGCAUGUAUGUAUGUGAAUGUUGCACUAUUGAUCACCCUAAUCGUAAAUGAGCAUGAAUUAAUGAUGAUAUUCCAUGAAUCAACACUUGAUUGUAUGAUUAUGAGAAUGUACAUUGUGUUUGUGCUUGUGGCUUGUUGAAUGGAUCAGGUGUUACGUUCCAACACACUAACUUGGAUCGGGUGCCACGUUCCGGCGCAUAUAUGAGAUCGGGUGUCACGUCCGACACACUAACUUGGAUCUGGUACCACGUACCGAUACACUAACAGAUUGGGUAUGGGUUCCAUGAGAGGACCAUUAACUUGACAUGACUCCAACACACUAACUUGGAUCGGGUGCCACGUUCCGGCGCAUAUAUGAGAUCGGGUGUCACGUCCGACACACUAACUUGGAUCUGGUACCACGUACCGAUACACUAACAGAUUGGGUAUGGGUUCCAUGAGAGGACCAUUAACUUGACAUGACUGUAUAUCUUGAGAAUUGUGAAAUUGUACGUUGUUUGUAAGUGGUAAUUGAUAUUGUAUAUGAUCGGUGUAUGCAUGUUUAUUAUUGUUGUAAUGACUUAUAUAUGUUUCACCUAUUGGGAUAGCCGUGUGAUCCUACCAGUACACUGUGGUUGUGUACUGAUGCUGCACUUGCUCUCUCUUUGUUGAGUACAGGACAUCUUCAGGUGGCUACUGACAGACCUCGUUUAGAAGACCAGUGAUCGUCGAUCGAACUCAAGGGUGAGCCAGUUCUUCCAGGCUACCAUGAGUUCUCUUUCUGUCUAUGUCCACCAUUUCAGAAUUAGAUUUUUAUAGUUAGUUAAUUAGUUCAUAUUUGUUUCGUAAUUAAUUUAUCAACCUAUUGUCAAUGUUAGUAAUGGUAAGUAGUUACGAGUAGGGGCAUCAAAAUUGAGCCCAAUUAUAGGCAACCUGCCCAGCCCGCUCAUAAUUUUAAGUGUUGGGCUCAAGAUGAUUUGAAUUGGAUCUAAUCUCAAAACAUCAUGUCCUAACCCACUUUAAGAGAAUCCUCAAUUGAGCUCAAUUCAAUCUCCAAUUCCAACCCAUUUUAAGACUCUUUAUUUUCAUUGAUGUAAUGUAUGAUACUAUAUUACAGGUAUGAAUUACUAUCUAUUUUAUAUCUUUUAGGAUUUAUCUAUCCAUUUGUAACUUCUUUUUCAAAAAAAAUUCUCGAGGUGAAAUUCAAAUUGUAGAUAUAAAACAUAAAUAACAAUAUAUUAAAAUUAUUGAGAUUAAAUGGAUCAAAUUGGGCGUGUCAAGACCAAAGCCAUUUUUAAGCUCAUUUGAGCCCAAAGUAAACUUGGGCGGGUUAGAACCCAACCAAUUUCUAUUUCAACACAUUUUAAUAUCUCCAAUUUCAAUCUAACCCACCCAUUUGUCACCUCUAGUUACAAGGAUUGUAAUUACAUGAUAUCUAGAGAAAAAAAUUACUAGAAUCUAAGUAAUAACCACAUUACUAAAAAAAAAUAUUCAAUUUUCGUUUGUAAUAAUUGACCAGAUAUGGUAAAAAUAUUAUUUCCAUACUAAAAAGAGGUAAAUAUCAAUUAAUCCUCAUAAUUGCACACUCAUUUGUUAGAUAUUUUUUCUUUACACUUUAUUUAUAUAUACAUCUCUCCAUUUAUCCUUCAAAAUAUAUUUCUUCUCAAUAUUCUUAAGUAAAUUUUCUCUCUUUUAUCUUGCUUGUACAGAAAAGAAUGGAUUCUUCUACUGAAAUCAACAAUUGCCGUGAAAUAAUACCCUACAUUUUCACAGUCAAUAUUGUUCGAAUAUCGGUAUGUUGUUUUACAAUAAUAAUUUUUUAGUAAUUUCUCUAAAAAUUAUGAUGAAUCCAGAAAAAAUAUAAUUCGAAUAGCGAUUUGGAUAAAUUAUUUUUGGAGAAAUGUGUCACGACCCAAACCAUCGUGAUUGGCACCCAGACUAACCCUCCAGUGGGAGAACCAUUACUACAAUCCAAACCCAACAACUAAUCCAAAAACUAAGCUUUUAAAUUACGGAAGCAAGUUAAAUAGCUAAGUACUAAAGUGCCCAUAAACUUCCAAAAGAUCUAACAACUAAACAAUGCGGAAAAUACCUAGAACCUGAAAGUCAAUGUACCAAAACAUCUAACAAUGAACCAAAGUCUAAACAAGAAGGGAUACAGCCCCAAACUAAUGAACUAAUUAACUAACUAGAAAAAUCUAAGUCCAAAAUGGUGGGAUAGACAGAAAGAGAACUCAUGGAAGCCUGGAAGAACUGACUCACCCUUGAGUUCGAUCAGCGAUCACUGAUCUUCUAAACGAGGUCUGUCAAUAGCCGCUUGGAAAUGCCCUGUACUCAACAAAGAAAGAGCAGCUGUAGUAUCAGUACACAUUCAUAGUGUAUUGGUAGGAUCACGCGGCUAUCCCACUAAGUACAACAUAUAUAAGCCAUCACAACAAUAUAAUCACAUGCAUAUAUCGAACAUAUACAAUAUUAUCAACAUUUACGAACAAGGUACAAUUUCACAUUUCUCAAGAUACACAAUUAUAACAAAUCAUUGGUCCUCUCAUGGAACCCAAACCCAACAUGUUAGCCUACUGGAACGUGGUACCCGAUCCAAUGUUUAUGCCGGAACGUGGAAACUGAUCCCAUAAUUAUGUCAAAACGUGGAAAACGAUCCAAGUUAGUGUGUCGGAACGCAACACCCGAUCCAUUCAACAAGCCACAAUCACAAUCACAAGUAUAUUCUCAAGUUCAUAUUAUCAAGUCAUGAUUCAUGGCAUUCAUCAUUCAUCCAUCUCAUAUGCAACAAGUAUGAUAAAUAAUGCAACAUUCGCAUACAUAAAUGUAUUAUAAUGAAAGAAGAACAAAAAUACAUCACACAAUCAUAGAAUCACCACCAUCACCUACCACGAAACAAGCUUGAAACCCUUAAGAAACUUUAUUUUCCCUUUCUGGAUUCGUUCGGCUUGUUCUUGGUCUACAAACAAUAAUUAUAAUACGGGAAUCAAUAAACGAUAACUAAUUACAUGAAUUACUAACAAUCUUGUAACCCCUAGAUCAUACCCAUGAUCCCAAUGUCCAAAUUAGGGCUUUUCCCACCAUAAUUCUCAAAUCAAAAAUCUUCCCCAUCGAUAAUUACCCAUUAGAUUACGUUCUAUGGAUCGAAAAACGGAUUCAGGGAGUGAAAAUCUUACCUUUAGCCUCAACAAUGGUGGAAAACUGUCAAGAAAAGACCUGGGUUCGUUACUUAGCUCUCUAAUUCAAAAAUUGCAGAAUAAAACAUUUUUGGGGUUUACUUACGACUUUAAGUCACGUCUGCCCCGCUACAGCGGCACCCACCCCGCUACAGCGGCCCCGCCCUAGCGGCAGAAAUCCUGCCUCAGCGGCUUGCACAGAAACAGUGAGCAAUUUUAAGAAUUUCAAAUCCCCAUUUCACAACACCUUUAAUCAACUAUACUCAGAAACUACCCAUUCACGCUAAGAUCAAUUCUAGGAGUUCUACUCGUCCGAAUUCAAUUCUGUAAAGUCGUACGGGUUCCUUAACGAUUUAUCUAUCUACCCAUGUGAUCAAAUUCAUAAUUAAAUCACAAUGAUUCCGAUUUUAUCCAAAUCUGGACUAGGUCGGGAAAUUCCAAGUUACUACAAAAAAGUUUUUCGACCCAAAAUUUUUCCCCGUUGGCUUUUCUAUAACGACAGAACCCGGUAGUUACAAUAGAUACCAAUUUACCCAUCACUCGUCCCUGAAUGACAAACUUAGGAAAAAUAGGCUAAGGAAGGAAUGGAGUAGUAUUUGAAUCAACGAACAAUUGGGAAUACUUAUCCCGCAUGUACUUCUCGAUUUCCUAAGUAGCUUUCUCAACUGGACGAUGCUUCCAUUAAACUUUCACGGACUUAAUCUCCUUGGUUCUCAGCUUUCGGACAUUCGAUCCAGAAUUGCAAUAGGUUCCUCCUCAUAUUGGAGGUCUAUGUCUAGCAUAAUUGAGUCCCACUUAAUGAUAUAAUCUCUGUCACCAUGAUAUCUCUUCAACAUGGACACAUGAAAUACCGGGUAAACUCCCGAUAGGUUAGGUGGUAAAGCCAAUCUAUACGCUAUCGGCCCUACACAUUCAAGAACCUAAAAGGGACCAAUAUAUCGGGGACUUAGUUUACCCUUCUUGCCAAAUCUCAUCACCCCUUUCAUAGGUGUACCAUAAGAAGAACAUUCUCACCGAUCUGAAAUGUCAUGUCCCUUACCUUAUGAUCCGCAUACUUUUUUUUUCUACUAUGGGCUGCUAGAAGCUUAGCUUGAAUACUUCUCACUUUAUCUUGAGCAUCCUUCUCUAAAUCAACCCCUGAUGGUUUCACAUCUCCAGCCUCGAACAAUCCAAUGGGUGAUCUACAUCCCCUCCCAUAUAAUGCCUCAAACGAUAUCAUAUCAAUGCUUGAGUGAUAACUAUUAUUAUAAGAGAAUUAACACAAGGGUAAGAACUUAUCCCAAUGUCCGCAAAAAGAAAUCACACAUGCCCUCAAUAUGUCUUCAAACACUUGAAUAGUCCUCUCCAACUGCCUGUCCGUCUGUGGAUGAAAAGAGGUACCAAAAGUGAGUUGUGUGCCCAAUUCAUCAUGUAAUUUCCUCCAAAACUUGGAGGUAAACUGAGUACCACGGUCUGAGAUGAUAGAAAGGGGUACCCCAUGCAACCUCACUAUCUCUUUCACAUACACCUUAGCCAAUUGUUCAGCAUUGUAAUCUAUUCUUACUGGAACAAAAUUGGUUGACUUAGUCAAUCUAUCAACCACUACACAAAUAGAAUCAAACUUCCCCAAAGUCUUGGGAAGUCCGACCACGAAAUCCAUGGCUAUCCUCUCCCACUUCCAUUCCAGAAUUGGCAUUCUUUGAAGCAANNNNNNNNNNNNNNNNNNNNNNNNNNNNNNNNNNNNNNNNNNNNNNNNNNNNNNNNNNNNNNNNNNNNNNNNNNCGGAAUUGGCAUUCUCUGAAGCAAACCUGCAGGCCUUUGAUGUUCAUACUUCACUUGUUGACAAUUUUGACACUUGGCCACGAAUUCCACUAUGUCCUUCUUCAUGCCCGACCACCAAUAAAUUCGCUUCAAGUCUUGGUACAUCUUGGUCAAACCCAGAUGAAUAGAAUAUCCCGAACCAUGGAAUUCUAUCAACAACUUUUAAUCAAGUCAUCAACUCAAGCAACACAAAUCUUUCCCUUAAAGCUAAGCACACCUUCUGCAUUAAGAGUGGUCUCUUGUGCCUUACCAAUUACAGUCUUUUUCUUAAGUUCAUUCAAAUUUUCAUCCUCAAAUUGCUUGGCCUUGAUCUCUUCCAUAAACGUGGCCCUUACUUCAAUGCUAGCUAACACCCCACUUUUUUCUGAGAUGCCCAAUUGCAUGAAUUUAGACUCCAAGGUCUGAAUUUCCUUAGUCAAAGGUCGUCUAGCUACACUCAAGCAAGCUAAACUACCCAUACUUACUGCCUUCCGACUCAAAGCGUCUGCCACUACAUUAGCCUUACCCGGAUGGUAUUGAAUGGUCACAUCAUAAUCUUUCAGUAACUCCAUCCAGCUUCGUUGUCUCAAAUUUUGAUCCUUUUGAGUGAACACAUGUUGUAAACUAUGAUGAUCGUUAAAUACUUCACACUUAACACCAUAGAGGUAAUGCCGCUAGAUCUUAAGAGCAAACACUAUCGCUGCCAACUCCAAAUCAUGCGUUGGAUAAUUCCUCUCAUGCAUCUUUAAUUGACGCGAGGCAUAAGCUAUAACAUUCUUAUUCUGCAUCAACACAGCACCCAAACCAGAAUGUGAAGCAUCACAAUAAAUGAUAAAAUCCUUACCUUCAACCGAUAAUGCUAGGAUGCGUGCGGUGGUCAAAAGAGUCUUGAGCUUUUGAAAGCUAUCCUCACAUUUUUCAGUCUAUUCAAAUGGUAUCUCCUUUUUGGUCAAAUUAGUCAAGUGAGUGGCAAUAGAAGCAAAGUUCUUCACAAAUCGACGAUAGUAGCUAGGGAGCCCCACAAAACUCCUAUCUUCCGUCACAAAGCUAGGCUGAACCCAAUUCUUAACCGCCUCAAUCUUUUGGGGAUCUACCAUUACCUCUACUUUUGAAACUACAUGUCCUAAAAAUGCCAUCGAAGUCAACCAAAAUUCACACUUAGAAAAUUUAGCAUACAAACUUUGUUUCCCAAGAACACACAGAACAAUACGAAGAUGGUCGGCAUGCUCUUCCUCACUUUUCGAAUAAACCAAAAUAUCAACAAUAAAGACUAUGACGAAUGAAUCAAGAAAUGGCUUGAACACUCCAUUCAUUAAACUCAUAAAAGUUGCAGGCACAUUAGUCAAACCAAAGGACAUAACUAGAAACUGGUAGUGCCCAUAGCGAGUUCUAAAUGUCGUCUUGGGCACAUCCUCAGGCCUAAUUUUCAACUGAUGGUAGCCAGACCUUAGAUCAAUCUUGGAGAAAACAAAAGCACCUUGCAAUAGGUCAAAAAGUUCAUCUAUUCGAGGCAAGAGAUACUUAUUUCGAAUGGUAACUCUAUUCAAUUACCGGUAAUCUAUACAUAUUCUUAUACUACCAUCAUUUUUCUUAACAAACAAAACUGGAGCACCCCAUGGGGAAGCACUAGGGCGAAUAAAUCCCUUGCCAAAAAGCUCUUGGAUUUGAGCCUUAAACUCUCUCAAUUCCGCUAGGGCCAUGCGAUAUGGAGGGAUAGAAAGGGGACGAGUACUAGGUUCCAAAUCAAUGCAGAAAUCUAUAUCUCUAUCUGGAGGCAUACCAGGAAAAUCAGUAGGAAACACUUCUCUAAAUUUUGACACCACAGGAAUAGACUCAAUAGAUGGAGUCUCAACCUCAACAUCCCUAAUAUGAGCCAAAUAAGCCAAACAACCCUUCCCUACCAGUUUUCUAGCCCAAAUAGAGGAUAUGAUCUUAGCUUGCUUAGGCUUGUACACCUCUUCCCACUCAAAUUUUUCCCUUCCCAGAAUUUCUAAAGUCACAGACUUAGUAUUACAAUUAAGCACAGCAUAAUAAGGGGGCAAUCAAGGCAUGCCUAAGAUUAUGUCAAAGUCAGUCAUAUCAAAAUUCACCAAAUUAACCCAAGUCUGAAAACCCAUAAACAAAACAGGACAAGAACGAUAGACAUGUGUGACUAUGACAGACUUUCCAACUAGGUAGAAACAUGGAUGGGGGCAUCAAGUAUAUCACAAAUCAUAGCAAAUUCUGAGGCAAAUCGCACAGAUACAUAAGGAUAAGUAGAACCUGGAUCAAAUAACACAUUAGCCAUCCGGUCGCACACAAGAACAGUACAUGUGAUCAUUGCGUCAGACGUCUCUGCCUCAUUCUUUCCCAGAAAGGCAUAUCAUUGAGCACUAACAUCUUGACGGUCGACUUCCAUGCCUGGCUGCACUGCACCUCUGACUGCGUUACCAUUUCUUCUACCCCCACGGCCUCGCUGAUCACCUCCUUACCCACCUUGUGGACGUCCUCUACCAUUAUUAGCAUUUCCCGCGGGUACCACUACUCUAGUCUGCUGCUACGAGAACACUCGUGGGUGGGGACAAUAUCUCCUCAUAUGCCUAGGUUCUCCACAAUUGUAGCAAGUACGAUCAAAAGAAGGUAUGCCACUUAUCAAAGGCGUGACUCCCUGGCUAUCCUGAAUCAAAUUGUGAGAUAAAGUUCCCGAAUAAUUACAUUUAGAGGCGGGCAUGGCGGACUGAAUUGGCCUAGCUGCAAGUGUUGGCCUCCCUGCCCCCUUAGAGUAAGAACCUUGAAAGUUACCCAAGUUUUUGGCCCUUUUAGCCAAUGCCUUAGCCUGACCGUCUCGCCUCACCCCCUCCACUUUCUUAACAAAAUUUGUUACCUCAUUAAAGCUCCUCCCUGCAGAGGUCAUCUGAACAGAUAAUACCUGCCACUCAUAAUUUAGUCCCUUAAUAAAUAAAUGGAUCCUCUCUUCCUCAGUAGUUACCAAUUGAGUAGCAUAUCUAGGCAAGGCAUGGAACUUGGCCUCAUAAGCAGCCACAGACAUACCACUCUGCUCCAAAGCCAUGAACUCAUCCUUCUUGCGAUUUCUCAAAUUCCUAGGUACAUAUUUCUUUAAGAACAGAGCAUGAAAUUGGGUCCAAGUAAGUGGAGGUAUAACUGAAGAUUUGCAUUCGAUAUAAGCUCUCCACCACUGUUUGGCCUCACCUUGAAGCUGAAAAGUCACGAACUCAACCCCAUGUUGAUGGACAAUUCCCAGCUUAUGAAGCCUCUCGUAACAAUCUAGGAUGAACUCAUACGCAUCCUCACUCUCGGAACCAUGGAACACAUGUGGCUUCAACUGUAAAAACUUGGUCAACAUCUCAUAUUCAUUACCAGUCAUAACAGGACCCAAUAAAGGAUAGAAGAAAGCAUCAUUACCUACAUUCCCUCCCACCUUGGGGAUAGUGGUAGCAAUAGGAGGAUUGGCGGGAGCUUGAGUUGCUUGAACAGAGGGAAGCACUCCAGGACCAACCAACCCUUUCAAGAAUGACAUGAUCUGCUGAGCUAAAACUAGGUCUAUGGGAGGAAUACAUGUAGUCUCAGCCUGCACCUCUUUCUCUUGUCCAACCUCCUCAACAUUCUCCUCUAUCUCUUCAUGAUGUACGGGAGAGGCCUCAUUUUAGGGAGCAUUUUCGAUCGGUACCACAUCUGUAGUAGGUGCCACUCUUCCUCGGCCUCUACCCCUAGCUCUUCCUCUACCCCUGCCUCGACCGUGACCUCUCGCUGCAGAUUCCUCAGCUGGAGCAUUGAUGGGAGCUAUGGGCCUGACGCUGUUGAAUCUAGUGUUAACCAUCUGUGGAAACAAGAGUGAAGGAGGUUAGAUACCAAUUCGAAUCGACAGAUACCAAUUGGAAUCAAGUUAUAGCACAAAGGAGACAAGAGAAAACAGAGAGAUUUCCUAAAGUCCUAUAGCCUCUCGAAGAAAAGUACAGACAUAUCUGUACCGUUCCGCAAGACUCUAUUAGACUCAUUUUGGUACAUCGAGAUCAACGAACAUAUACUCUGAUACAAACUUUGUAACGACCCAGACCGUCGUGAUUGGCACCCACACUAAUCCUCCGGUGGGAGAACCAUUACUACAAUCCAAACCCAACAACUAAUCCAAAAACUAAGCAUUUAAGUUACGGAAGCAAGUUAAAUAGCUAAGUAAUGAAGUUCCCAUAAACUUCCAAAAGAUCUAACAACUAAACAAUGCGAAAUACCUAGAACUUGAAAGUCAAUGUACCAAAACAUCUAUCAAUGAACCAAAGUCUAAACAAGAAGGGAUACAACCCCAAUCUAAUGAACUAAUUAACUAACUAGAAAAAUCUAAGUCUGAAAUGGUGGACAUAGACAGAAAGAGAACUCAUGGCAGCCUAGAAGAACUGGCUCACCCUUGAGUUCGAUCGGCGACCACUGAUCUUCUAAAUGAGGUCUGUCAAUAGUUGGUUGAAGAUGCCCUGUACUCAACAAAGAAAGAGCAAGUGCAGUAUCAGUACACAACCACAGUGUACUGGUAGGAUCACGCGGCUAUCCCACUAAGUGCAACGUAUAUACGCCAUCACAACAAUAUAAUCACAUGCAUAUAUCAAACAUAUACAAUAUUGUCAAUAUUCACGAACAAGGUACAGUUUCACAUUUCUCAAGAUACACAAUUAUAACAGAUCAUUGGUCCUCUGAUGGAACCCAAACCCAAACUGUUAGCAUACCGGAACGUGCUACCCGAAAUCCAAAUUAUUUAUGUCAGAACGUGGCAACCGAUCCCACAAUUAUGUCGGAACGUGGCAACUGUCCAAGUUAGUAUGUUGGAACGCAAUACCUGAUCCAUUCAACCAGCCACAAUCACAAUCACAAUCACAAGUAUAUUCUCAAGUUCAUACAAUCAAGUCAUGAUUCCCGGCAUUCAUCAUUCAUCCAUCUCAUUUACAACAAGUGUGAUCAAUAAUGCAACAUUCGCAUACAUACACGUAUUAUAAUGAAGCAAGAACAAAUAUACAUCACACAAUCAUAGAAUCACAAUCAUCACCUACCUCGAAACAAGAUUAAAACCCUUAAGAAACAUGAUUCUUACCUUUCCGGAUUCGUUCCGCUUGUUCUUGGUGUACAAACAAUAAUUAUAAUACGGAAAUCAAUAACCAAUAACUAAAUACCCGAAUUACUAACAAUCAUAUGAACCCUAGAUCAUAUCCAUGAUCCUAAUAUCCAAAUUUGGGCUUUUCCCACUAUAAUUCUCAUAUCAAAACUCUUCCCCGUCGAUAAUUACCCAUUAGAUUACGUUCUACGGAUCAAAAAAUGGAUUUGGGGAGUGAAAAUCUUACCUUUAGCCUCAAGAAUGGUGGAAAACUGUCAAGAAAAGACCUGGAUUCGUUCCUUAGCUCUCAAAUUCAAAAAUUACAGAAUAAAAUGUUUUUGGGGUUUAUUUACGACUUUAAGUCGCGUCUGCCCCACCACAGUGACACCCACCCCGCUACAGCAUCCCCACCUUGGCGGUAGAAAUCCCACCUCAGCGGCUUGCACGAAUCAGUGACCAAUUUUAAGAAUUUCAAACCCUCAUAUCACAACACACCUAUAACCAACGACACUCAGAACUACCCAUUCAUGCUAAGAUCAAUUUUGGGAGUUCUACUCGUCUGAAUUCAAUUCCGUAAAGUCGUACGAGUUCCUUAAUGACUUAUCUAUCUACCCAUGUGAUCAAAUUCAUAAUUAAAUCACCCAAUUGUUACCAGAUUUCUCUAGACUUUAAUGACUCCGAUUUCGUCCAAAUCUGGACUAGGUCGGAAAAAUUUCAAGUUACUACGAAAAAGUUUUUCGACCCAAAAUAUUUUCUCGUUGGCUUUUCUAUAACGACGGAACCCAGUCGUUACAAAAUAUUUUUUAAAACAUUUAUUUUAUAAAAGUAGAAAAUUUUUCUUAUAAAAAUAAAAUGGUUUUCUUAGUUGUUCAUUUUAAUAAAUGUUGAAUAAUGAAAAGUUGAUUCGCAUUUUGAAAAAAAUAAGAGAAUGUACGGUAACAAUGUGUUGUUAUAAAAUUUGAUGAAUUAAUUUCUAUUAUAAAUUAUUAACAUGUCAAAAUUCUACAUAACAGAAUAUAAAGAAAUAAAUAAAAAUUUCUGCAUUCAAAAUUUGAUAAUUAUUUUGUAUUUCUCCUAAUUCCUUACAGGCUCAAGAAAAUCAAAGAACUGAUAUUAGUGAAUCGGUGUUACUACCCUCUAGUGUAUGAAGUCAUCCAAGGGAGAAUGUCUCGGGGACAUCAAUAAGAAAAUAUAAUUUAGCAUUCUAGUUCCUCUUCUUACGUGUUGCUUUACCCUUUAAUUUAUUAUCUUUUGCGUAGAUUUUAACUCCAUGGUUAAAUCUUGAUCAUUAUCAUGCAUAAGAAAAAACACAUGAAUUUUAGAUAUUUUAAGACACUAGUGAUAUUUAAAUAUUUUAUUUUUUUUGUUUGAGAAUAAUUCAUUAUUGUGAGGAAUAAUUGUGUAUCAAGAUUUUUUUUUAACAAAUUUUAUCAUAACAUCUAUGUCUAUAAUAAAUGAGAUUUUAUAAAAUUUAGAUGUCUUUUGAAAAAAAUAGAAUUAUGGGUGAUACUUUUUUAUUCUCUUUUUAACUGAAAUUGCAAUAGGCUUUUGGAUAAAAAAAAGGAAAGAAAAUAAGUUUUUUUGUAUGAUAUUAUUUUGUCAUAUAGACGACGAUUAAUCACAUUAUUAAAAAAUGAACAAGUCUGAUUAAAUUUCUUAUUUAUAAUGAUUAGUAUUAAAUUUUAUUUUAUAAGCAAUUAAAAUUUAUUGAAUCUAAAAAAAAGUGAUUUCAAUAAUAUAUUUUAUAAACACUAAGGUGAUAAAAGAUUGAUUUAUAGUUAAGUAUUUUAUUAUUUUAUAUUGUCUUUGUUAAAUGAUUCUUAUAACAUAUUAGUUGGCUAGAUUUGUAUGUUAGAUUUUAAUUGCAAUAUUGAUGAAAAAUUACGAGAAUCUAACCGUUAAUCUAAUAACCUUUGCUUUAAUAAUGUAAUUUACAAAUUUAUUAUUUUUCUCUAAACUGGUUCAAUAAUUGUUAAAAUUAUCUAACCACCUUGAAAAUUAAAGUCACUUUCAUAUAUAUAUAUAUAUAUAUAUAUAUAUACACACACUUUUUAUUGUUGUUUUUUUAUUUCUUUUAAAUUUAAUUAAAACAUUUUUACAUUAUUAUUAAAUGAUAUAGACACUGAUUGUGAAAUUUACUAUUCAAAAUAUUUUUAUUUUUUUAAUUAGAAUAUGUCAUGUUUGUAUAUACACUAUUGUAAUUAAUUUUGAGUGAUACAAAAAAGAUACAUACAUUGCCCAUUAUAAUUAAUGUGAUAGUGAAACUUAAUAAAUUGAUCAUUUUUUGUUUACAUAAAGAAAUAAUUCUAAUGAUCUUGAUCAUAUUUAUGACGUAGAAUUUUACGUUUAUUUCAAUGUCUAAUUAAUAAACUCUUACAACUCUCAUAAUUUCUACUCGACAUCAUCCAGAAGAAACAAUUUUUUUUUUAUAUCUCAAGAAAUUGAGGAAACAAUAGUUAUUUGAGUAUAAAUAUCAUAUAAUUUUUUGGUUAAUGAUAUUAUGACCAUGAAUUUUAUUUUUCUCUUUAUCAUGUGAAUUGAUGAUAUAUGUAUUGUCAUUUUCAUAUAUUAUUGUUAUACACUAGUAUACGUGUCCGCGCGUUGCACGGUUAGUUGAUAUAUAAUCACAAAUAUUGAUUUCUUGAUAAUUCCAAAAUUUAACAUAUUGUUAAAUAAUAUUAUCAAAUAAAUGAUACACAUCACAUUGCACGGUUUGUUAAUAAAUAUAAUGAAAUAUUGAUUUCUUGACAAUUCCAAAAUUUAACUUAUUAGUAAAUAAUAUUAUAAAAUAAAUGGUAUACAUUAAAUAUGUGUAGAUAAUAAGCGACUAACAAUACAUCAAAAUAAAAAUAAAAAUUCAAAUCCACCGAAUUCACACUCCACUCACCGUGUAAGAAAAAAUUAUUAAAAAUUAUUAAAGAUUAUAAAUAAAAUAAAAAAUUAACAGUUUGCAAUAAUUAUUGAUAAGAGAUUUUGAUGCUUAAAAAGUUGCUAUAUCUAGUUAUAUAAUAAUAGAAAUAUAUAUUAGAGAAUAAUUGAAGACAUAAAAUAAAUCUAAAAAUUAUUAACAGUUUGAGCAUUAUUUUCAAUAUAAUAAAUUAAAUCGCAAUAUAAAUUAGCACUUGGAAGCAUCAACUCAACCAAUUAGAAAGUAUCAAAGAAACAAAAUCAACAUACUAAUUACUCGACUAAUUAAAAUUUAAGCAUCAAACCAACAAAAUAAAAAUAUACUACUUGUUCACUCCUUGUCCGCGUUCACAUUGUCAUAGUAACCAAAAAAAAAAUACUAACAUAAUUUGUUGUAGUAUGAUCAUCACAAACUGCAUAUAAAAAACAAAAAAAUUAAAAUUGAGAAAGUUUCUAAAAAAUGUAGAAUUUGAAGAAUCAACUAUACAUGAACUAACGAAUAAAGAGAGGAGAAUAUUGUGAGAAUAAAUCAAAUAACCAUAAUGAUAUGAGCAAUAGUUUCAAUAUAGUAAUAGUUUAUAAAUGACAACAAAAAUUAGCAAUUUAAAAAUGUCAACUCCAUUAUUAUAAAAUUUAUAUUUUUUAAUUUACGUGGUAAAAUGUUUUCAUUUUCUAUCAAAAAUAAAAAUGAACAAAUAAAAAAUUCAAAAUAAUAACAUUACAGAAUACUACUUGAUUGAGUUCACCCUGUAAUAGUAGACAAAGAAAAUAAUAUAGUGGCAUAGCUCAUAGUAUACCAUCGCAAUCUGCAUAUAAAAAAUAUAUUAAAUAUAAUGCAAAAUCACUAAACUGAUGAAACAAUUAUUAGAGUAGUAAUUUAUGUACUAGAAAUAUUGAAAGACGGCAUACAUGGUCCAAUGCGAUAAAAUUCUUCAUAAUUUCGCCAUUUCUCUAUCGUCAGUUUUUUAUUCUUUCUUGUUGCAUUGAAGAGGAUGGUGGUCAAUCUCCUUCAAUCAUAACAAAAUAAUUUUACAUCAAACAUCAACAAUUAAGAAAAAGGGCAUAUAACACACAAUUUGCAUAUAAAAAAAAUAUAUGAGAUGUAAUGCAAAAUCACUAAAUUGAUGAAUGAAUUAUUACAAUAGUAAUUUGUGUACUAUAAAUAUUGAAAGAUGACAUACAUGGUCCACUGCCAUGAAAUUCUUCCAUUUCUCUAUCUCAAUUUCUUCUUCUUCACAGCAUUGCCAUGAAAUUCUUCCAUUUCUCUAUCUCAAUUUCUUCUUCUUCACAGCAUUGCCAUGAAAUUCUUCCAUUUCUCUAUCUCAAUUUCUUCUUCUUCACAGCAUUGCCAUGAAAUUCUUCCAUUUCUCUAUCUCAAUUUCUUCUUCUUCACAGCAUUGCCAUGAAAUUCUUCCAUUUCUCUAUCUCAAUUUCUUCUUCUUCACAGCAUUGCCAUGAAAUUCUUCCAUUUCUCUAUCUCAAUUUCUUCUUCUUCCUUGUUGCAUUGGAGAGGAUGGUGGUUAUUCUCCUUCAAUUAUAAAUAAAAUAAUUUCACAUCAAACAAUUAAGAAAGAGGGCAUAUAAAUACACAAUACACUACUAUAUGUCCCCUCAAUUUUUCUAUGAGUGUAAUCAAAUCUAAAUUUUUAUUUGAAUAUAUUUUUUGUUAAAUAAAUGUUUGAAUUUGUAUUUUGAAGAGUUGCACAAGAAUGUGGAUGCUUUUGUUAAGAAAAGUAUUUUUUAAAGAUGUUGAUUCUGAAGUUUAUAUUUAUUAAUAGGAAUAAAGUUAGUUAUUAUUUGAAAUUUAAAUUUUAAAUUAAUUAUUUAGAUAUUUUAUAGUGGCCAAUUUUGAGAUUUAUUUUUUUAAAGGACGUGGUCUUUUUUUUCCUUCUCUUUUUAACUGAAAGUUGUUUAUUUCUUUUAUUAAAUAAAGCAACAAUGGAUAGAAUUUAAUAAAUUAAAAGGAAAAAAAAACUUUCCCAUUUUCCCUAUGAAAAUUCACAGUUCUAAUCAUCUUUUUUAUUAAAAAAAAAGUCAUUUUUAAAAAUUUAUCUUUUUAUUAUUAAAUUAUUUUAUAUUUUAUUUUGAUUGAAACUUUUUUCUUUCUUUUAUUAAAUAAGGAAUGUUGUAUGGAUAAAAAAAAUUUUAAAAAAAGUAACUAUCCCAUUUCCCUACGAACAGUUUUUAACUUCUAUUUUUUUAUAAAUCAUUUUUUAAAUUUACUUGUUACUCAAUACUGGUAUACGUACCCAUGCGUUGCGCGGAUAUAUUAAAAUGAAAAGAAAACAUAUAUUGAGUUAUAUUUUAUAUGAAAUAUAAAUAUCAACAAAAAUUAAAUAAACAAAAAUUAAAUGAAAAAUAAUAUAUAAUAUUUUGAAAUUAUUUUAAUCACAAUAUAAAGUUGUUUUGUGGUCCCAACAGUAAUGCUUUUUAUAAUUUUCAUAAUAAACAUAAGCCACUUAUAUUAAUAUAUAAUAUAAAAUAAUAUUUAAUAAAGUAUUGUGUACGUGAAAUACUCCUUUCGUCUCAUAUUAGUUGAUCACUAUUAAUUUUUUACGGUGCUUAAAAAACAUAAAUAAGAAGAUGAUUUUUCUAAUUCACACCUUAAAAUACUUCUUGUGAAUUAUACAAACAAAUAUGAAUACUUUCAAAAUAAAUCAGUUGCAAGAGUAGUAAAAAAAAGUUAUUAAAGUUUUAUUGAUUUAGUAAGGUGAUCAAUUAAUAUAAAUUAAUUAUAUUUAGUAUUAAUACUUCAUUUGUCCACUUUUAAUUGUCAUGUUCUUUUUUUUUAGAGUAAAACAUAAGAACUUUGACUAACAAUUUACGAUAUUUUUUUUUAUCAUAUUAAUAUGCAUAUAUGGCUAUUUGUAGUACUUUUUGUAUAGUUUUGAAAUAUACAAAUAUUUUUCUUAAAAUAUCGAAUUAAUGUAAUCUUAUUUUACUUUGAAAAAUUGAUUAAAUUGACUUUUGAAAAACUAAAUAUAACAAUUAAAAGUUGACGAAGGAGGUAUAAAAUAGAGGAAGUACUAUAAAAGAAUACAACUUUUUAGGUAUAUUGAUUAGCAUGCCUUGAUAGUAUAGUAAGACUUCAAUGUAUACACACAUUUCAAUAUUUCCAUCUUUCUUUCUUUGUUUUUAAUUAAACAAAAUGGCCAUGGGCCAAUUUAUUGAAUAACAAAAAAAUGGAAACUAAAAGUUGAAGAAAAACGUCAGGUAGUAGAAAUAAGAAAAAAAAAUGAAAACUUAAAAAAUAUGGAUCUAUCUAGAUUGUGGAAGGAGACCAAACAUGCACCGAUGGAAUCUGAUUUUUGAGAUUAGGAAAGUCAGCUUCCUAUUUAGAUCGUCGCUGGUCAGAGCUAGAUCCGUCAUCUCUAAGCUCAUGUGUGCUUUUUCAUAUCACUGUAAGUGUUCUUUCUUUGUUUUCUUUAUAUUCUUCUGUUACCCUUUCUCAAUUGGGUUCUUUGUAAUUGUUAAUUUUUUCUUGUAAAGUUUCUUGGAAGAACGAAAUCUCUAAUUUGAAUCUCAUCAACAUAACUUUGGUAAAAAAAAAGUUCUCAUUUCAACAUUCGAACAUUCAAAUUAGAACAAAGCCUAACAAAGACUUUGUUCAAGCAGGUAUCACACUGGAAAUAAGAUUUUGAUUGAAAUUGUAUUUAGAUCUAGAGUUGUUCCGUCAACAAUCGUAUGUUUCAUGAAAUGGUGAGUUCCUUUUUUUCUUCAUUUUAUUGAAUUGUAAUAAGAACUUCGAUUGAAGAGUAUUAGCAUGCAUCAACUUCUUGUCGUGGAGUUAAUUUUUUAAAAUUAUCAGGUGAUGUCUUCUUCAGCUCUAUUUUGCCUCGAUGUUACUCUAUUUGGGAUGAUCAACUAAGGUAUAAUAUUUUAAAUUUAUAUAAGCUUAUGUUGAUGCAGAUUUUGUUAAUUUUGCUUGGUGAUUGAGAGUUUAUUCUGUUGUCGUAUCCGUUUUUAUGUUCUUUGCAAUGUCAGGUUAGAUCUCUAUCUUUGUUUUUGUUUUUAUGUUUAACCAUGUUGUUAGAGUAGAUUGUGAUGAAUUAUUACUUAUUGCGGAAGCAGGGAAAUGAUUAUUUGUUUUUUAAAAUUCGAAAAGAUGUCUUACAUCUACAAAUAUGUAGUUAAGCUAUUUUAUUUUCCACUCAAUUUGUUUUUUUUACACUAAUCUCUAUAUUUUAAUCUGAUUUAUAUUGAUAUUUUCUGUAGUUUCAAUGUGCUUAUACCUAUAUAAUGAUGCAUGCUUCAGAUGAAAAGCUUACUGAUCUAAUUCAUAUGCUUGAUAGAUUAUAAUUCAGUUUACUAAAUUAACAUAACGUAAAUAAUUGUGUGUUUACUUGUUUAAACUUAUUGGUGUUUAUUUUUAAUGUGCUGCUUCUUUGGAACAUCUGAAACCAUAUAUGAACUCCUUUAAAUACUUGUUACAGGAUAGCUAGCAAGAUUAAAUGUAAAGUUUAAAAAGUAUCUAGAACCAAGCCCUCCAUUGCAUAUAUAUAGUCUAGUUUAUAAAAAAAUAAUGUCAACAGGCGGUUCCAUUUCAUAUAAUGGAAGAGUCUAAUACUAUCUUCAAAGCACACUCAAUUACUUAAGUGUGAAAUUGUUCACCAUAUGCAUAAGUGUAUUAUCCCCUCCAUUUUUUCAAACUCUUGCUACCAAUUCUUCAAAUUUAACAACUCAAAUAUCAGCUGUAUUAUCUGUCAUUGUCAAUAAAAGAGUUAACAAUAUUAAUUUAUUUAAAGUAUUUUAAUAUUAUAAUUAUUAUAAAUCUUUAUAAAACAAAGUUAAUUGGAUAGUUUAAUAUUCUAAAAUAAACUAACUUAAAUAAUUAAAGCCUAUUUCCCAUUCUGAAAAACUUAUGUCUUCUUCUCCUUCUUUAUAACUUUGCGUAACUUGUUAGUGGGUAGUUUGACAUUUAAUCCCUCAUCAUUUGAAUGUGUUGGUCGAACUCCAACAUGUUUGCCACUAUUGGGAUAUAACUUUCCAGUCAAAUCAAUCACAUCUUCAUUUUGUGAAGAAGCACAAUCUGAAAUGCUAUUUUUCAUAAGUGUUUGAAAAUAAUUUAAAUACAUACAUAAUUUAGUAAUUUAUGUGUGUUGAAUAGUUAUACACAUAAUGUAAAAUAACAAACUAUGUUUUAAAAUCUGAAAAGUUUAAAAACGAAAUAUAGAUUGAAUUAAAUUAUAUACCUCAAUUAGUUUAUCUUCAUCAUAGCUCUGUCCACAAUCAAGGGUUGCCUCCUGUUUCAAAAAUUAUAGUUAAUUUAUUUAUAUGACAAUUAGAGUUAAAUUUUAAUAAUAUAGACACUUACAUUUAAAUUGUGUAUAAGAGAAGGAUGACAAUAUUCCUUUAGUAAUGCUUCAUCAUCAAUGAACUUUACUACUUUGUAAACAUUAUCAUUCUUGUUAAUGUUUGAAUCCUUAAUCUGGACUUUAAACAUGAGCCUUUUCUCAAUCAAAGAAUCAAUUUCUAUUGGAUAACCCAUGUCAGCAUCUCCUAUUAAUCCUGCCUUCAAUUCCUUGGCAGUCUUUCCAAUUAAUUGUAGAACCUCUUUAUUCCACAACAAUAAUGAUAUAAAUCCAAUUUCAUCAGUAACAUGAAUAUGAAGUUGAUACCUAAAGUGUAUAAAAUAGAGUGUUAUAUAAAUUUUAGUUAAAUUUUAAAAAUCUAUAUUGUUUGCUCCAACCUGUGAAUAACAAAUAUAACUUCAGCAUUGCAUUUUAUGCAAUAAUAUUUGUCUCCCAAAGGAUCAACCUUUGUGAUACACUUAUUGCAAGCCAAGUAUGACCAUCUGUGACCAAGUUCCAAACAAACAAUCUUUACACCAAUCCAAUAGCUAGACUCCUGUGAGUUAAAUCAUAAUGUUUAGAUAAUUAUAUGUACUAUAAAAAAAAUAUAGAUUAUAAUUAGUAAUUUAAUAUAUACAACUCACUUCAGUGCAUUGAAGGAAAUCCCUAAUCCCUAAUAAAUUUAAAAGAGACCAUUCAUGUAGACAACUCCUCAAAAAUUGAAAUAUGUUGUUGUGAACUUGUUUGUGAAACCUUCUCGUAUUCACCUGAUGCAAUUAACAUGUAAAUUUAUCAUAAAAUAGUAGUUAUAUAAUUUGUUAAUUUUAAUUCAUUUGGAGUACUUAAUAAUACAUAUGAAUUGUCAAACUUAUUUUUAAAAUUCGAAGAUUGUGGUAGAUCUGCAUUAAUCCAUAGUUGUUCAGCAACUACGAAUAGAAUAGGUAUCUAUAAAAUAAUUUAUAAGAUUUAUUAAGUUAGAUAAAUAUAUUUGUAAUAAUGAUAAACAAUAGUUUAACAAAAUAAAAACUUUAAAAUUCAUACCUCUAAAUUUGUGUGUCUUCAUUAAUUGAAGAACAACAAUUAAUGGUUCAUCUGUCGAUCCAGAUAAAUGUGAUUGCAUUUGAAAUGCGAGAUCACCCCAUAAAGUGGCAGGAAGCUUGUUUCUCCUACAUAAACAGUGUUGUGAAAAUGAUAAAUUUAAUUAUUAUUUCUCCAACAUAAACAAUGUUGUGAAAAUGAUAAAUUUAAUUAUUGUUAUCAUAUAAGAUAAUAUAAUGGUAUAUACCCUAUUAAAUGUAAAUUGUUUAAUAAUACUUACUGCUCAUCUUCUACAACAAUAUUCAUGAAAGAACUAUUGUUGUCUCCUUUCUUUGACAAUUGAAUUGGUUCAUAUGAGACAACAUGUCCAACAACUCUUAAAAAAUGAAAUGCUUAGUUAUAAUAUUUACAGUAUAAUGAAAAUAAUUAUAUAAUAAUAUUAUUAUUUACCAAUUAGUUGAUUCUCGUCGAUCUUGUGUUGAAUUUUCACUUCUUCAAAAGUGCGUAGCUUAAAAACAUCCAUAUGAAAAGAUGAAUCUUCAAUUUCAGUCACAAUAGUACUCUGAGUGAAUGUAAGCUUGUGUUUAUGAGAAUUUGAUUUAAAUUUACGAGUGAUAAGGCGCUAUCACAAAAUAUUUCAUCUGAUAUAAACCAUGAUCAUAAAUCUUGUCUCUAAAAUACUUUAUUGUGAACUUAUCAAUAGAUGCAUGUAUUCGAUCACCCUAUAUGAAAAUAAAAUUUUGUAUAAUCAUUAAUCAUUAAUAUUAAAUGUAUAAUAGAAUUAGAGAAUAACAUUAAAAACACAAAUUUGAAUUAAAUCAUACCUUUUCAUCUUGCAAAAUCAACUCCAUAGUAUACGGAAUAUUAGGCUUGUAUUUAUCGGACACUGUCCAGAAACGAAUAACGCGAAAUUUUAAAUUCCAAUUCAUUAAGUUAUUGGUAAUUUCAGAUAUUGUGUUAUAUUGCAAAGCCAUAUUUUGUAAUUUGAAAGUUGACAGAAACAUGUUUAGUUUGAAACAAAUGGUAUCUAUAUAUAGGUACUUAGUACGUGAUUUGAGAAACAGUUUUUUCAAAAGUUAGUGGGAAGUUACAGAACUGCUCCUAAUUUAAACUGCUCUAAAUUUUAAACUGCUUUUGAAUUUUUUAUUACAGAGUUAGAGGUUAAUUCAGAUGCUGCCAGAUAUUGCUAACAAAGUUGUUUGGAACUGAAGAAGCUAACACGUCAUUUAUGCAAUGAAAUUGUAUUAGAUUUAAAUAUUAAUACCGCUAAAGUGUUGAUAUUUUUUUACAAUUAAUUGUUAAAAUUGAUAAGUUGACAGACAAAAUUAUAUCAUGCUAAUGAUGACACGUGUUUAUAUUUAUUUUAAUUACAAAUGUUAAAUUAGUGUUUAAUUGAAAAUAUGACACGUGUAAAUUUAAACUUCCUUCAAUAAUUUUAUUUCAGAUUUUUGUAAAUUCAAAAAUUGACACGUUAAAUUAUAUCAAGCAAAUGUUGACACAUGUUAAGAUAUUUUAAUUAAUUUUUAUUUUAAAUGUUAAAUUAGUGAUUAAUUGAUCCAGAUUUGACACGUGCAUAUUAAAUACUUCCUUUAAUAAAUUUAUUUAAGUUUUUUUUAAAUCAAAAGUUGAAAUGUCAAAUUAUAUAAUGCAAAUGCUGACACGUGUUAAUAAUUGUAUAAUAAUUUAUCAUUUUAAAAUGUUAAAAUGAAUGAAUAAUUAGAAGAUGACACGUGUAUAUUUAAUUUUUUUUGAAAAUCUCUAACGUUUUCUUACGGAUUUCCGUAAGAAUAUAUAUAUAUAUAUAUAUAUAAUUAUGAAUUGAUAAUUAAAAAGUAAAAAAAGUGAGAUUAAUUGUGGCGCUGACAUGUAGGCGCUAUCACCUCUCCUAAUAUAUAUAUAUAUAUAUAUAUAUAGAUUUUAUUCUAGAUCAAAUACCAUUGAUUUAGAGAUAAAGUUAGUUAUUAUUUGAAAUUCGAAUUUUAAAUUAAUUAUUUAGGUAUUUUGUUGUGGAUAAUUUUGAGAUUUAUAUUUUUAAAGGACUUGAUUUCCUCUUCUUCUUUUUCUGAACUUAAAAUUGUUUAUUUAUUUUAUUAAAUAAGGCAACAAUGGAUAGAGUUUAAUAAAUUAAAAAAUAUAGAAAAAAAAUCUUUCCCAUUUUUCCUACGAAAAUCCAUGUUUAUCUUUCUUUUAUUUUUCUUAAAAUUAUUUUUUAAAGAUGUUGAUUAUGAAGUUUAUAUUUAUUAAUAGGGAUAAAGUUAGUUAUUAUUUGAAAUUUAAAUUUGAAAUUAAUUAUUUAGAUACUUUAUAGUGGCCAAUUUUGAGAUUUUUUUUUUAAAGGAUGUGGUCUUUUUUUUCCUUCUUUUUUUUUAAAACUGAAAGUUGUUCAUUUAUUUUAUUAAAUAAAGCAACAAUGGAUAGAAUUUAAUAAAUUAAAAGAAAAAAAACCUUUCCCAUUUUCCCUAUGAAAAUUCACAGUUCUAAUCAUCUUUUAAAAAGAAAAAAUCAUUUUUUAAAAUUUAUCUUUUUAUUAUUAAAUUAUUUUAUAUUUUAUUUUGAUUGAAACUUUUUUCUUUCUUUUAUUAAAUAAGAAAUGAUGUAUGGAUAAAAUUUAAUAUUUUAAAAAAAAGAAGUAACUAUCCCAUUUCCCUACGAACAGUGUUUAACUUCUGUUUUUUUAUAAAUCAUUUUUUAAAUUUACUUAUUACUCAAUAUUUUAUUCUAGAUCAAAUACCAUUGAUAUAGAGAUAAAGUUAGUUAUUAUUUGAAAUUUAAAUUUGAAAUUAAUUAUUUAGGUAUUUUGUGGUGGCUAAUUUUGAGAUUUAUAUUUUUAAAGGACGUUAUUUCCUCUUCUUCUUUUUUUUUGUAACUUAAAAAUUGUUUAUUUAUUUUAUUAAAUAAGGCACAAUGGAUAGAGUUUAAUAAAUUAAAAAAUAAAGAAAAAAACUUUCCCAUUUUUCCUACGAAAAUCCAUGUUAAUCUUUCUUUUAUUUUUCUUAAAAUUAUUUUUUAAAGAUGUUGAUUAUGAAGUUUAUAUUUAUUAAUAGGGAUAACGUUAGUUAUUCUUUGAAAUUUAAAUUUUAAAUUAAUUAUUUAGAUAUUUUAUAGUGGCCAAUUUUGAGAUUUAUUUUUUUAAAGCACGUGGUCUUUUUUUUCCUUCUUUUCUUUUUAACUGAAAGUUGUUUAUUUCUUUUAUUAAAUAAAGCAACAAUGGAUAGAAUUUAAUAAAUUAAAAGGAAAAAAAACUUUCCCAUUUUCCCUAUGAAAAUUCACAGUUCUAAUCAUCUUUUUAAACAAAAAAUCAUUUUUUUAUUAUUAAAUUAUUUUAUAUUUUAUUUUGAUUGAAACUUUUUUCUUUCUUUUAUUAAAUAAGAUAUGUUGUAUGGAUAAAAUUUAAUAAUUUUUUAAAAAAAAGUAACCAUCCCAUUUCCCUACGAACAUGUUUUAACUUCUGUUUUUUUAUAAAUCAUUUUUUAAAUUUACUUAUUACUCAAUAUUUUUUUCUAGAUCAAAUAUCAUUGAUUUAGAGAUAAAUUUAGUUAUUAUUUGAAAUUUGAAUUUUAAAUUAAUUAUUUAGGUAUUUUGUGGUGGCUAAUUUUGAGAUUUAUAUUUUUAAUGGACGUGAUUUCCUCUUCUUCUUUUUUUGAACUUAUAAUUGUUUAUUUAUUUUAUUAAAUAAGGCAACAAUGGAUAGAGUUUAAUAAAUUAAAAGAAAAAAAAAAACUUUCCCAUUUUUCCUACUAAAAUCCAUGUUUAUCUUUCUUUUAUUUUUCUUAAAAUCAUUUUUAAUUUUUUUUUUAUAAUAGACUAUUUUAUUUUAAUUGAAUUUUUUUCUUUAUUUUAUUAGAUAAGACAUGUUGUAUUGUUGUAUGGAUAGAAUUUACUAAAUUAAAAAAUAAGAAGGAAAAACUAACUACCCCAUUUCGCUAAGAACAGUUUUUAACUUCUGUUUUUUAAUUAUUAUUUAAAUUUAUUUAUUAUAUUUAUUCUUGAUAAAAUACCUAUGAUUUAGGAGCAUUUUUCGCUACCGUAAAUCGUAAUAUAGAAGAUUCAGUUAUUCUUUUAGGGUGUGUGUUUGGUAUGAAUGAAAACAUUUUUUGAAAAUGUUUUUCAAUUUUCUCAUGUUUGGUUGGGUUAAAUGUUUUGGAAAAUGUUUUCCAAAUCAACUCAUUUUCCUCAAAUUUAAGGAAAAUGAGUUCCAUUCAAAACUUAAGGAAAACAUUUUCCAAAACUCUCUUCCAACUUCCAAUUAAAAACAAAAUGUUGAAAAAAUCAAUUUAUUUGGUCGCUACCCUCAAACCAGCCCCCCAACCACCCCCCCAAAAAAAUAAUAAUUUAAAAUUUAAGUUAUCUACUCUAGUAAAAAUAAAAGAAAUUUUUCAAAAACAUUUUUCAUUCAUAAAUCAAACACUAAAAGUAUUUUCUACUCACCAACCAAACAUGAGAAAAUAAGUUAAAAAUCAACUUGUUUCCAAGAAAACAUUUUCCAUGGAAAACAUUUUCCUUCAUACCAAACACACCCUUAAUGUAUCCCUAUUGUUUAGGAGCACUUUUCUAGUCUAGGAAGAAUAUAAUGUAGUUUUCUCUAUUAAAAAUUUUGAAUUUUAGAAAACAGUAAAAAGUUCAGUUCUUUUCUUUUUCCCGUGUUUGCAUAUUUUAUUUUUAUUUUCAGAUUGUAAAUUAAUUUUAAUAUUUUUCAAAUUGAUGCCAACUUAUUUCUUAAAAUUCUCAAAUGACUAACGUGUUGAUUUUUAUAUUUUGAAUUUUAAAAUAAAUAAUAAUUUUUACAAUUUUAAUUUUUAUUUAAAUUUUGAAAAACAGUAAAAUAAAUUCUUAUUUUUUCAUUUGAAAAUAAAUAAAUAAUAUUAGUAAUUUAUUAUUUAAUUCUACUACAUAUAAUUAAUAAUUUUAUAAUUAUUUAAAAAGCCUGUAUUUCGUGGUGCUGACACGACACUUUUUCUUCUCCUAUUAUAUAUAGAUAGAUUGUGAGUAUAUAUAUCUUUCGCCUUGAUGCUCAUUUUGUUUUUAUGGACAUUCAUAAAUAAUAUAGUGUAAAUUGUUUUACAUCAUCAAAGCAUCAAAUUUUUAUUAUUCCUUUUAUUCUGCAAAAGAGUUUAACUUAUAUAUACAAAUAAUGUACUAAAACUUUAUAUUAUAAAUCACCCAAAAGAUAUCUAUAAGCAUACAACAAUCAAAAUAAAAUUUGUAAUUCUUAAAAUUAGGUAGUUUUCUUUUCACAAAAAGUAAAUAUGAUAUGAUAGUUUAUAAAUUAGUGUUUAUUUAAAACACAAUCAAGUAUGACAAGAAAUUUUGAUUUAAAGUUUUCUAUUAUUUGCUGAAUGAGUCUGAAUUAACUCACCAUCAACUCACCGGGAGGAAGAGGAGAUUGAUUAAUGCGGAGGUCAUAGCCCUAUCUACUGUUAGCUUUGCAAUUGUACCUUUAGCAGGUGAAACUAAUAUUUAUACUGUAAAAUUAAACAAGGUUAGUACAUUUAUUUUUCUAGAUUGCUUAUGUAUAGAUUUAAUAAGUCAAGGUUUGAUCAUAAUUAUGAGACGGUUAACUCUUCCAAAUACUUUGUUAUGAACUUGAAUUAUAGGGAGAUGAUUUAGUCGAUCCAUUCAGACUUAAUAAAAAAUAUCAUGAUAUCUUGGACGAUUGGACAUGUGAAAAGAGAAGGCACCCUAAUGGUCAAUGUGACAAGGUAAAUAAUAUUAUUAUCUUAUUUCUUGCAUAUAACUUAAAUUAUUAGUUUUUGUUUCCUAUAUCUUGAUUCUAUAAAUUAGUGAUGAGGAACUAAAAAAAUGAUGAGUCAAGAAAAUAAGAGAUAACGAAUCAAUCACUAAGCUACCUGUGACAAUGAGUUUAAGUUUUAUUCAUCAUUUGGAUAAUGUCUUAUUUACACUAUCAUGGAAUUUAAAGUAUACUUACAACUAAGAGUCUAUAAAAUAUGAGUUUUGUAAUCUUAAAAAUAAGACAUGUAAUAUUUUAUAAAAUGCAAAAGUUAAAUGAUAGUUUUAUAGUAGGUUUUCUAUGAUUUGUCUACAUUUUGAUUUAGGAGAUGUUUUUCUAGAUAGUUCCGUUAUAGUUUCUACAUUAUAUCAUGAGGCAUCUUCUCUAUUAUAAUUAUUUUAGUUGCUUAAUUUGUAUUAGAAUACUUAUCUUAUUGAAUUUGUCUAGCAGAGUAGGUAAUAAUUUGUUAGUGCAAGAUAAUAGUGUACAACAUUUAAAUCCUUUAAUAAUUAUUGUAACCUAAUGAAAAGAAUUGUUGUGUUGUAGGUUUAGUAUCAUAUGAAAAAAUGUUUCAUAUGUCGAUCUGUUAUGGAUGUAUGUAGAUAUAUCUUAGAUGGUUACGAGAAAAUGGAAGUAGAAGUCGAUUACAAAACAAAUAUGGUAAAAGAGAUUAAGGUAAGAUGUUUAAUUAUUUGACAAAUAUAUAUUUUUUAUUGUUACAAUCAUUCUUAUAAAUUUAUCUUGAAUUAAAUCAAGAUUGGAUCUCCAAAACGUCCUUCCAAGAAAAGAAAAAAAGAAUCUUCAAACUCAGAGCAUACAACAACGAAACAGAAAGAAAACAAUGGUGAACUACAUUUAGGAAAUGAAGUGGCACUCAUGUGUGAAAUGAUC
rnacentral:lncRNA from 1 species